rnacentral:lncRNA from 1 species
AUAAUUCUAAUUUUAAUAUAUGUGUUUGUGAAUAAGGUUUUUAUUAUCAAAUUUUCAGGUAACAAAGAAUGGUCGGAGGGUACACAUGUUAAUAUAGGAGUUAGUAUGUUUGAUGAUGAGAAAAUAAACAACAAUGAUCUUGAUCUUUUUACUGUCCCUCAAUACGGGAGGUACCCUGACUACACUGGUUAAGUGUUACAGCAUUAUACUUUUAUAUUAUGUUUAGUUAAAUAAAAGGAUGGAUAAUGUUAUUAUCCAUCAAUGAUGUGAAUACAAAGUUGGUUUAGUCAACUACUAAGAUCUUGUGGGAUAGACAAAAAACUGCUUUCUUUAGCACAUGUAUUUUGUCGUCCUUAGUUAAUAAAUAAAAUUAUUGUGUGUAUGAGUUGAUUGAAUUAUUUUGGCAAUAGAUAUAAAAUUGUAUUAUUUUAAAUAUCUCUAUUUGAUUAAUUGUGCUCUUUUUCUUCUUGAAGGGGCCAAAAUCUUUAUAAUUAAUUAAUGGUACUAAUACUAUUUAUGUUUGUUAUUUGUUAAUUAAAUGGCGUAUAUCAUCAGGAUUAUAAAAUCUUACCAUAACUAUAUUAAGGGUUCUCCUACUUUAAUAUGAUAAAGGACAAGUUAAAAAAUAAACAAAAUACAUAUUUCAAUAUACUGGAUUAAAGAUGGCUGCACCCCUAUGAUGUAUAAAAAUAAUCACAAAAACUCUCAAGUUAAUAAGAAACACUAAAACCCUCUUCUAUUACUUUCUACAAUUAGUUUCGAUGAAAAAUGUAAAAUUUACUAUUAUGUAUUUAUGAUGCACUUACUACCUUCCUACGUGAAAUUUUAAAAUAAAUAAAUAAAUAUAUGAAAAAUGUUGUGAAACAACCUGCCCCAAACCCUAGGAGGAGUCUAUCUAACCUCCUCCAAACUGGAUUGAUAAUAAUUCUAUUAGUAAGGAUUCUGUCGAAAAUUCAACUAUAACACUCUCAAUAUGAAAAUAUGUAUAACAAACACUCCCAAAAUAAUUCAAUAUACAACAAAUUCCAAUGUUCAACAUUCUCAACCAAAAUGUUAUAUUUUACUCAAGAUAUCACUAAAGUCUCAAAAGAUAAUAUUACAACUAAGUGUGUUCAAACAGGCCCCAAAGACUUCUAUCUCAUCUCAUCCCUAUCACUGUUUCUAGAGGGGAAGGGUAUUGUCUAAUGAUUUCAAAAACAAUCAUUAUACUCAUAUUCACAUACUUUUUAACCAUACUUUGGAUCACUCUUUCCUUUUUCUUGUUUAACACCUACACGGCAUCAUCUUGAUAUAGCAAAUUCUUUUCUCUUUUUUCCCAUUUUUCUCCAUAACAGUCGCACCAACGAAAUGUAAGUAUGGUUUAUUAGCAAAAAUAAAAUUUGUGAAAAGAGGUAAUCAUUUUUUAAUCACCAAAAUGUGCACAAAUUAAAUGAAACUUCCAAAAAUACUUCAUGAAAUGAAAUUUCAAACAUACUAAUGUCAUGAACUAUCUUAGCAUUGCCUAAAAUUGGAUGAGUCUGAAACAAGCCAUUUCAUUGGGAUGCAAUGUAGAAACCAUAAAAUUGGAGAUGUGCUGUAACAUUAGCUCUUCAACAUCACAUAAGCACUAAAGAAAGCCAAAGUCUAUAAAUUGCUUUUUAAAUUAAAAAGAUGUCAAUAUAAAGAGUAUACACAAUACUUAGGAGGACCUAACUAUUCACAUAUAACUGAGCUUUUCAUCAUCAUCAUCUAACACACUCAUUAGCAGGCUGUUGCAACUCUGCAACCGGUCACAAAAUCAGCCAGCUAACAAUUCACAUGAACAAAAUCUAGCACCAAUUAUAUCAUCAGCGAGCCAUAUCUUGGACAAUCACUUCCAUGUGUAAGGCAUCCAUCUGAAACACAUUUCUCCCAUAAUAAUAGAUCAAUCCUCUGCUAAGCACUUCCACGAACACCAAGAUUGGAACUUUUUUCUUUUUUUUUUGGGAGGAAAUUCAUUAACAUAAAGAAGGAACCAAAGUGAAUAUAUGCAAGUCCUGAUACUCCACAACAUUUGAAACCAAAAGACAUGCACUAGGGAGCUGGUUACUCUUUCAAGAUUGAUGGUGCCAAUUCCCUCGAUGAAAUAAAAUCUCGAGUUGGAAAAUGAAAACUUCCUCACCUCAUAUAUGAGUUGUGAGAAACAAAGAACUUGUAAUCGGGAUGACUGACUUGCAAAAGCUUAAGCCAGUUGUCUGCAGCUCGCAGCAGAGAAUUAGCUUUCUGACACUCAUAAACUCCAUUACAGUUCCAAAAAGAAACUUUGAACUUGUAUGAAGCAAGCCCGAAAGUCGGUAACGGUAGCUUAUACAACAUGUCAGCACUGUGAACCUCCCUAACAGUCAAAUUAGGGAAGUGUAGCCCUUCAGAGCUUGUACCUGCCCCAGAUAAGAUUGCAAGUGUCACUACCUAUGGCAGGGAGGACAAUAGAAACCGCGCAUGCGCACACACACACACACAUCCCUAUAUGAUGCAAGAAAGCAACUUACUCUGAAAUGGCGUGGAAAGAGAAUGAAAGGUUAGAAAGCAGGCAUCAAGGUUCUGUAAUGUUGGACCCGUGGGUAUUCUAUAUAUAGGAUACCUACAUUAAGAAUAGCACACAAACUCUUUAAGAUUGCGGAUAUGAACUCAGACGAAAAAAAUUAACUUCACAUAGAAAAAUAUCAUGGAAAAAACAUACCAUGCUACAGAUAUCCAGCUUGAAGGUAGCAAAUCGCAGCUCUUGUAUGUUCUCAGUUCUGGAAAUCGUGAUGCGAGAAUUCCAAUCUGUAGGUUGGAUCCAAGGUUUUGAGUCUUUUUUCAUGAUUAAGGUAAAAAUACUGAAAACUAAAUAUAUUGUUCUACGUAAGAACAAUGCACUUGCCUUGUCAGCCAAAGGUUCACGACUAAAUGGAGGAUCAUGCUCAAGGUAUUCAAAUAUAAGCUGGCCGGGGGGAUUGCAAAUCUCACUUUCUUCACUUGAUGAACCCACAAAGGGUUUAUUCCUCAGCGAAAGCCCACUGAAAUUCUGAAUAUUUGCAUCUGCAAUGUUCUGCUGACUCCACGUCCCAUGAACAAAAGCAUUGAUUCGCCUCUCUGCCCCGGUGUCACUGCUGCCAUCACUACUUGUCUCCCUGGAUGACUCAGCGUCACUCUCCUCACCAGGCCUCCUGUCCAAAGAAAUGAAUGAAAUUCCUUUAGCCAAAGCAUGACAGUUUCAGAUCCCACCAAGGCAAUGACAGUAAUGUCAAUAAAUAAUAGACCACACAAACAAUCUGACAGGACAUUAUGACAACAGCACCAUCUUAGUUGUUUCUAACAAGAUGAGUAAUCCAUGUAAUACUUCAGCACUUGCUGCAUUUAUGAGUUCGUUAUAAUCUGAUGCUAGAAAUUACCUCCACAUCAUCAAGAACCAUACAACUAUCUAACCUGAUGCUAGAAAUUACCUCCACAUCAUCAAGAACCAUACAACUAUCUAACCUAAGCUUGAAUGCUCAUCCAGCAUUUCCAACAGAAAAGGAAUGGACUGCUUCAAUGGCUAAACGAAAUACACAAGAAAUUCCCUUUCUGCUCUUCGCAGACUAAUACAAAAUUACAAGAUGCCAGCAAUAGAGUUAAGGAUAUAGCCAAGUUUUAUCAAAAGCAUAUCAAAAUAAGAACAUUUGGCAGCAAAACCCAGUAACUAAAAAAGAAAACUGUUAUAAAUGAGAAUUCUGGGACAAUGUCUCACCUCAACCUUGAGGAAGGUCUCGAUGGGUCUAUGUACAGCUGAAUGCCAGACAAGUAUGGUACAUAAUACUGCUUGACAGACUCGUUCCCAUCCAACAAAAGGGGGACACCAGCUCCAUAAGCACUCCAUUCCUUAAAUGAUUCCCACAAAUCCCCAAGCACAAAGUACGGCUGAAAUUCUGUUUCCUGGCUUCUCCAUCUCCUCACACUUGUCUAUAACAAAUUCCACAAUGUAACAAAAAAGGAAGAAGUAAAGAAAAGGAGAACAGAGAAACCGAGAAAUAUUGAACAAAUGCCACAUAAAUACAUUCCAACAAGAAAAGAUUGCAUUGUGGAGAAUUUUUUAUUUACUUUUUUUGGUCCUGAUUAAAGCACAAGAGAAACGUGCAUAAUUAAUAUUGAUUCAUAAAUACUCUCAAACAAUCAAGAUAACUGUAUCAUCAGCAUGCUUGCUAGUAGAAAGGAAAAAGAAAAGUGAAGGAAAGGACAAAGACAAAGCUCCAUUCUUCUUGUCCUUUUGGUUGCUAUGAUAAACGUUCAAGGAAAUACAGCUCUUUCACUAAUUGACAUCCCCUAACAACAAAAGCAAGAGACAUUUAUAUCUAAAUCAGACAAUAUGUGCUGAAGUUACCAUACACAUAUCCACAUUCAUUUACUUUUACAUAAAAGAACGUAAAAUCAUAAAUUAUAUCUCCCCAUCAAUAAGCUUUAUUGUUUUUUUUUUGGGUCCCUAUACUCUAUUCCAUUCACCACCGUAAGCAUUUGGCUUGUGCAUCCCCCAUUACCUUUAGUGUCAUUGUUUCCAACCAACCAAACAGGCAAAACAGCCUCUCUUCUACCCUUUCUUUUUCAACCAUAUAUUGCUUCCCUAAUUUCUCUCUUAAUGAACUAUGAGUUAUUCACUAAUUCCCUUCCAAGCAACCUAAUAAACCAAAAUUUAAAGACUAAAAUUUUCAUUCAGCUCCAAACAUAUCAACAUUUUCUAACGGAAUAACAAAGAACCACCACCACAACAAAUCCCUAAAAACCAAAAUUACAUGGAAGUCAACUCCAAUAGACAUAAAUAUACUAAAGACUGCAUUCCAACCCCCUCAAAAUUCAUAAAAAUUCUAAAUUUUCAUCAUCUCAAUUAAUAAAACUAAUAGAAAUUGCAAUAAGAGACAAAAAUUAACAGCUUUCAAAACUCAUUAAUAAAGCAUAGUAAUAAUUUCGAUAAUUUCAUCAAAAUUGAUUUUUAAAAAAAUGACAAAAAGUGAUUUUUUUUUUUUUUUUUUGUGACAAUCACCUUAGGAGGAUACUGAGAGGGCACCACAGGAGUCGUGUACUCCAAGAACCUAUCCAAAUUCGUCGAUUCACCAAACGAAUUCGAAAUCGAUUCACAUUCAUCGCUCUCCGUUGUUCUCUUCUCCGAACAACUCAACUUCUCCAACCUCAGCCGCUCGCGCUCCUCCUGCACUCUUUGUUUCUCCUCCUCUUCCUCCUGUUGCCGCCGCAACAACUGCUGCUUCCGCACGUGCGGCGGAUUGUAAAACCGGUUCUCCCCGCGCCCUCCGCGGCCGAUCGGAACCGUUCUCGAACCGGACAUUAUCGCAAUCGGAAGGAGAAUUAAAACGAAACGACGCAGUUUUUUGAGUUCCCAAUCGAAAGAAACUGAAACGAAGGUUUUCAAUAAAAGUGAACAGUGAUGUGAAGAGUAAAGGUUUCGACUUUCAAGAUCUAGGGUUUUAGUUUUCGCUGUCGUUAAUUAUAAUAAUUAUUUUUAUAAUCGCGAUUAAAUUUUUUAAAUAGUGAUUUGUAUUAUGCAGAUGUGGCCAGCGAUGUGAUGAAGUGAAGCGUUUUGUGUAAUUGUGUGGGACGAGAAAAAUAAUGGAAAUUCAGAUUCUUCUGAAGAAGAUAUUUAUUAGUUUGAAACUCGAAAAGAGUAGGCAACUGUGGGAUAUACUCAAGAGGCGCGAGAAGAAUCCAGAAUGAUGAGAUCAUCAAUGUAUUUUAUUCGAGAAAUUUCUUGGCUUUAUUUUUUAUUUUUUUGUUUUUUUUUUCAGUUUCUUGAACUAAUCAUUUUGCUAAUUUAGAUAUUAUUAUUAUUAUUAUUAUUAUUGACUAUAGAGUUGUAAUUAUCUUAAAAUGCUGAUGGGAUCUGAGUUUAAGAUCUUUUUGAUAUGACCCAAAAUGGGAUAUUCUUAAAUUCAUUUUAAUAUUGGAAACUUCUUCUGUCACCAUGUCUUCAUAAUAAUUAAAGUUUUAAUAUUGAAUAAUCCAUUAUUUCAUUUGGUGCUCCACAUACCUGAAGUGACUAUACAGCAUGCAUAGAAAAUUUUUGCAUUUUGCUAGAAAAUAUAAGCAAUAGGAAAAUCAUGAAUCUGCAGUCGAUAUAGAUUUACAGUUCUAAGCCCAAAGCCCAAGAAGAAGAAACCCCAGUUUGUGGCCCGAUUUUACAAAAAUUUCAGAGCCCAGCAUGCCCAAAGAUAAAAUCUGAGAAUUUUCUUCUAGAAGUACAUGAUAUGAUCUUAUGAAACCAAUUCGUGUGCUGCAGGAUUUUUAAUUAUACACAUUAUAAUAGUUGAGUAAUUGUGGAGAUAUGUUUUAUAUUUAUUUAAAUGGAUAUUCAUUCUAAGGGACAGCCAUUCAAUGUUGAUGUAAUUUUUAUGUCGUGGUUAUUUGUUCAGGAUAUAUAAAUAAUUAAAAUUUAAACGUAUAUUAUUAUAAAUGUACGUGCAACCGAAGAUCAUUAAAAAUGAUUAGUACUAAAUCCAAAUUUAUUUUUAAAAAAUGAAGGCGGCCUAAAUGAUUGGCAUGUUGUUUUGUCACCAGCAUUUUAUAAAUUUAUCCGUUGAAAUCAAUGAAAUUAAUAAUUUGUAGUAUUUUUUUAUUAUGAAAAAAAAUUCAAUUUUGUUUAUAUCCUUCUAGAGGAACAAUAUUCAUCCCACUCAUAUGUGCAUUAUAUCCAUAUUUUUUUUUCUUGGGUAAUAAAUAAGUAUUGCCUCAUAAACUUUUGAUUAUAUCCAUAAAUUGAUAUAAGAAAACUCUUCUUUUGUUUUACAUGAUAACAUGAACCUUAUAUGUUAUUCUUAGGUGCUCACUCUUUGAUCUGAUCCGACUUGAUCCACAAAUAAUUAUAACUUAAUCCAAUCCGAACUCAACCUAGAAUUUUUAUCCAAUCUGAUCCAAAUAGAGUUUGAAUCAGACCAAAUCAGAUUACAAGUUCAAAUAACUUUUUUCCCAACUCGAACAACUUGAAACCCAAUCAAAUUGACCCGAACUUGAAUCUGCCCACCCCUAAUACCAUUUGAUAGCUGACCUAGUAACCAUUGUGUUUUUCGUAAUUUUUUUAAAAUCAUGGAUUGUGUGACCCUAGUCAUCACUCUUCUUGGUAAAAUAUUGUGUUGCAUGGUCGAACAGACCAUUUACAUCCAUCGUCUUGAAGUUAACUUAAACAAAUUGAGAGAUGCAAACAAAGUCUCGAUGGCCUUAAUAACAAUGUUAUAGGGAGAGUUGAGCAUGCGAAAGAAGGUACUCGCCUAGAAAGCAUAUGGAAGAGUGGUUGGAGAGAGCACGUCGAGAGUCACAGGAAGUUGAAUCCAUUUUGCAGAAAGGUGAAGACAAGAAAGACUAGUUAUGUACGUAUAAUAAUUGUUCCAAGAAUUGUUAUUUCAACUACAAUUAUGGUAAGAAAAUUUUUGAGAUGACAAAUGCUGCCAUUGAGUUUCUAGCACAAGUAAAAUUUAAUGGAGCUACUGAUUGAAGUCCCUUUUUACUGUGGACGAGAUACUGUAAGAAGUCAGUGGGCAUUAGCUUUAGACUAAAUGAAGUUUGGAGCUAUAUUGAAGAUGAUGAUGUGAGAAUCUUUAGCUUGUAUGGAGUUAGAGUGAUUGGGAAGAGCACUUUGUUAAACCUACUUAAUAAAAAUUUCAGCCAACCAAACCUCAACCUCAACUUUGACAGGGUAAUUUUGGUUAAGACUUUUGGAGUCUGGAUUACGGAUUUCAAAUUCUUCGUGGAGCAACAAGGAUAAGAAUGGCAGAGCAUUUGAAAUAUUCAGAAAAUUAUACAACAAGAUGUUUGCCUUCUUGUUGGAUGAUUUACGAACAACAAUAUCGUUAUUCGAAGUUGGUGUGCGUCUUCACAGUAGAUCGAAGAUAGUUUUGACCACCAUAUUUGAGAGAGCGUGCAGAAGCAUGAGCUUUGACAAAUGUUAAAAAGUCAAUUAUUUUUUCAGAACAAGAACCAUUUAAUCUGUCCUAGCUCAAGUUCACCUACGCUAAACUGAACUCUCAUUCUUAUGUACUUGCAAAACUUGUGUCUAGCGUCUCUGAAGGCCAUUCCCUUUCUCUUAUUACCAUACUCUUAUUACUGUCGGAUGCGCCAUGCCUUGUAAUAUAGGCGACCCUGAUAUUGGCAUCAUACAAUUGAUGAAUUGACAAAAUAUCGGUAAACAAGAAGUUUGCCUUCUUGUUGGAUGAUUUACGGACAUCAAUAUCGUCAUUAGAAGUUGGCGUGCCUCUUCACAGUGGAUCAAAGAUAGUUUUGAUUACCGUAUUUGAGAGAGCGUGCAGAAGCAGAAGCAUAAGCAUUGACAAAUGUUAAAAGGUCAAUUAUUUUUCGGAGCAAGAAGCUUUUAAUUUGUUCAAGCUCAAGGUCACCUAUGGUAAGUUGAUGAUACACCUGCAAAACUUUUGGCUGGUAUGUGUGAAGGCCAUCUGCUUUCUCUUAUUACUAACGGAUGCGUCAUGCCUUGCAUUAUUGGGGACCCUGCUCUGUCAUUUUGCAAUUGAUGAAUUGACUAAAUAUCGGUUCGAUUUUGAAGAUAUGGGGACUCAUUUCCUUGCUCACUACAAUCACUUUUCAGGUAAAUUUUUUUAACCUUCAUUUUUCUUUGUUUCCUCAAAUUGUUAUGCCCGCUGAUCUCUAGUAUAAGGCACAUUCAAAAAUAUCCCUUUCAAGCAAAAGCAUGAUGUUUAAAGGUAAUAAAAGACAAACAGUACCAACAAAGUGUUGGCUCCACUGGCAAUGGAGUCCCCUUAAGUGGCUUGACUGGGUUUGCUCCCCAGUUCGAGUUUCAGGGAAGUUGCCUUUGUUGGGAGAACCUGUGCCUCUCGGUUCGAGCAGGGACUUCUAGUAUGGGUUGUGGUACGGGCUUAAAAGUGCCUCCCACAGUUGAGACCCUCCCCAAGAUACCUCGUGGUCAAAACCAAAAAAAAAAAAAGACCAACAGUUCUUUAGAUAUAACAGUGACCUUUGCUUGGCAUUUUCAAACCGACUUUAACAACUACCCAUUAUCAUAAUUUUAAACAAAUGCUUCAGUUUCGAAGUGAAAUGAUAGAAUUCGAUCAUGAAUAGAGUGCGCGAAGUGAAAUAUUUUCAGUAAUGAUUUUUUACAAUGAGCUAAUACAUACACUCAAGUGUUAGGACAUGGUAUGUAAAAAAAGAAGUGUUGGGACAUGAUUUUCGAUUGAAUUAGCUACUUAGUUCCAGCAAUAAAUGGCACAAAUACUGGAUAUGGUUUUGUAGAUGGCCGAAAACGAAAUAGAAAUCCACAUUGUCCAGCCCAUUUUUUAGGAAAAAUACAGAGCCCUGUGUGCCCAAAACUCAUUGCCCAAUCUUCUAGAAACAGAAUAAAAUUACCAUAAAAAUCAAUGCAUAUGCAGCUCGCAGAUUGACAUGCAAGUUGUGAACAUGCGGAAUAGUAAUAGUAAUCAGUGGAUUUUCUGUCUGUUUUACCUAAAACUUUCAACUGUACAAGUAAACAAAUAUUAGAAAUUCAGUAUUAAAAGUUUGGGUGCAGCUGCUUGCUUAAUUUAUUGGCAUUUAUUAACCAUGUGGAUUAAUUUAUUGCACAAUAUAAAGCAUAUGGGUGUUUUAUUGAAAAUUUAUCGAGUAUUAUAUUUAAACAAUUACAACAAAGACUAGCAACUGUAUUGGAGCUUAGCUAUUUGCUAUUGGCUAUUUAAUCUGGUUUUCUAGAAAGCAAAUUAUUUAUAAAUAUUUUUGGUAAUGGGCGGUGCCACAGUAGACAGAACACCUUCAUGGAAUAUGCACGCUUUGAAUUCAACCAAGUUAUCUCCCUCACUUCCAUGUCUAUAUAAACCCUUGAGUUGUUCGUCAGUCUCAACACAAACUCAAAAAUCAUCUGCAUUUGAAGCAAAUUCAUUCAUCAUUUUAACUUCUUGUAGUGUGUGCAUUUCUCUUUCUCUUUUUAAGCUACUUAACAUGGGUGUCAUUCGCUUUGAGAAAGAGGCUCCAGCUGCUGUUGCUCCUUCAAGAAUGUUCAAGGCUUUCGUUGACUCUCACAAUCUUUUACCAAAGAUAGCCCCACAAGCAUUCAAGAGCAUCGAUAUUCUUCAAGGAGAUGGAGGCGUGGGCACUAUCAAACUAUGGAACUUUGCUGAUGGUAAGUCUUGUUUCUGCUUGUUAAUUUUCCAAGUCCAAGAUUCCCCUUUGUACCACGAUUCAAAUUAAUCGCACCUGACAUUAAUAAUAUUUCAUUAUCCGUCAACUUUUUAACUUCAUAAUUAGUGAUGAUUUUUUUUUUAUUUUUUAUUUUUACAAUGGUCAGAUUUUACUAUUUCAAAAGUAGAUAUAUCAAAUUAUUUAACUUUAUAAUGUCAGAGUGGUUCAUGACAAAGAACUGAUUAAUUUCGAGGGGGGGAAAGAAAAGGCUUGGUCAUUUUUCUCAUUAAUCAUUACAUCGUGCAUGUUGUUCGUAAAGCGUAACAUAGAUAAGCUAACGAAGAUUCAAUGUAAUUCACAGGUGGUGAUUUCAAGCAUUCGAAGCAAAGAAUUGAUGCACUUGACAAGGACAAUCUUACAUGCAAGUAUACUGUCUAUGAAGGUGAGGGAGCAGCUGCAAUCUUUGAGAAAGCAGUGUACGAUGUUAAGUUCGAGGCUUCUGGAAAUGGUGGAAGCAUUUGCAAGGUUGCUGCUGAGUGCCAUAUAAAGGGUGAUCAAGAGCUCAAAGAAGAGCUGAUGAAGGACGCCGAAGAGAAAGCAACUGCAUUGUACAACAUUGUGGAAGCACAUCUCUUGGCUAAUCCUGAUCUCUAUGCCUAAAUCGCAUCAUGAUUGGCGUUUUCGAUUUCUGAAUGUGUUUGCUAAUUGAAUAAAGGGUUGUCUCACUGUGAGCUUCUAAUUUGUUGUUUUACUUGUUUCGGCUCAUCUUUGGUUCUUCUAAUAAUUAUGUUUAGUUGAAGCUUGAAUGUUACCUGUUUGUUAAUAAAUGUGUAUGGUCAAUAUAUAAAUGACCGUUAAUUUUAUUGCUUUUAAUAAAAGUGAACAGUGAUAUGAAUGGUAAAGGUUUCAAUUUCAGGAUCUAGGGUUUUAGUUUUAGUUUUAGUUUUCGUUAAUAAUAACAAUAAUUUAUAUAUAAAUAUUGGGAAUGAAAGGGGAAUAGAGUCUUUACAUACUUUAUAGCUAGAACUUAUGCCCUCGAUAUUAAAUUAUAUCAUUCAAUGUUAAUUUACGGAGGAUAAAAAAUUGUAGAUACACAAAAACUAAAUUUCAUAUUAAAUAUAAAAGAAAAAAAAAGAGUCGCACCAUACUUUUGAAACUUGAAUCAAUGUAAGUAGCUUAAAAAUGUAUCAUUCUAUGGUGGUUUAGUGGGAAAAAAAUAAAGAUACAUAAAUACAAAGCUUCAUAAUAAAUCUCAAUUUUUUUUCCAAAAUUAACUUGAAUUGGAUUAUACUAGACUAAACUAUUAGUAUAAUUAUUUUUAUAAAGAAUGGGACUAUUAGCACCCCUAUAAUUUUUUUUUAGAACUUUUUUUUUGGUAUAUUAACAAUUUGAUAUCCAAAAAUUACAUUGAUCUCUAAUUAAUCUAGAUUCAAAUUGGGUAAGCCUACCAAGGCGGCAAAGCUCUUGCAGCGAAUAUUUAACGCACCUAAAUUCUCAAGCCUCAAAUCAAGAACCUUGAUUAAGUUAGAACAACUUUAUACCAGCUGAUAUACGCGCUCGUUGGUUUUAAAAGCUAUUUUCGAUCAGGAGCUAUUUUAACUUCUAAAACAUCAUUUUCUAAUUUUUUUAGUUUCUUCCUCUCUACUCCAAAUCUCCAAAUAUGAUUUUCUUACACAAUAUAUAUAUAUAUAUAACUUCUAAAACAUCCUUUUUAAUAGAAUCACGUGGAUUAAAAAGCCAAGUGUUGUGAUAGAAAAAAAAAGGAAAAAAAUUGUAAAAAUUGUUAUUAUGACUAUAUAGGUGUAAAUGCCAGAGAAACAAACUUAUGGAGAAAGAAAAUAUAGGUUGAUUUAUUUUGUCCUUUAAUAUAAUUGUGAUAAGAGAGCGGAUUUACAAAAAUUAUGAAGGAGUGCUAAUAGUCCCACUCAUUCACAAAUUUUGCCGUGUAUUAUAUAUUGCAUGACCUCAAUUCUGUAAUUUUUCUCGACAAAUGAAUAGGUCUGGUGCUUCACAUACUUCAAGUGAGUAGUAAGCGUAGAAAAUUUUAGCUAGAAAAAAGAAGCAAAAAGAAAAUAAAGAACAAUAUGCAAUAUUUGCAUUGCUACGAAAGUAAAAUCAUGAAUGUUCAUCUGCAUGCAAAUGAUCGUAAAUAUUGGACUUUUUUUUUUGAAUUACAUGAGACUAAUGCUCAGAUUACAACUUAUAUUGUAUGAGAUUUACAACUGAUAUUUACAAUCAGACAAUUACUAGGACUAGUUUACAUUAAUUCUUAUAUAGCACUGUCCAGAUUUUAUCCUCUCAAAUAUUUAAGAGAUGUCUACUCCACUCACAUUUUGAAAGGGAGAAGACUAUCUUUACUUAAUUAUAUAAUAUAAGUAAGGAAGGAAAUAAGUCCUUACAUGCAUCGCGGGGGCUCGAAUCGCUAACCCCACAGUUGUGAGUGUAGGGUCUUGACCACUGGACCAAAGGCCCAAUGAUUGUAAUAUUGGACAUUAGGUUCAUAGUUUUAGCCCGAGAAUCCAAAAAGAAAAAGAACCCAGCCUUCGUGGCCCCAAUUUAAAAUAAAUUCCGAGCCCAGCGUCUACAAAGAGAUGAAAUCUGAGAUUGAUAUCCCAGAAGCAGAACAUAUUCAUUGUGACAAUCAAUCCUUAUGCUGCGGGACUGUUAAUUAAAAAAAUAAAAAAAUUUUCUUUCAUUCCGAUAAGAUGAGUAUCAAACCAAAACACAAUAAAAGUACACUCUAAAUAUAAUAAGUUUGUCAUUUAUCCGUUGAAAGUCACUCAAAAAAUUUAUUCUGAAUGUUGGAUGUAUCCGGAUUGAAAAGGCACGUAACAAAGCUUGUGUCCUUGAAAAUUGGAUACCUACACCUGAAGAAAUAAAAGAAAUAAAAUACUAUAUAAAGGGUAAUAGUUGGAGCCCUACUAUUGGCCUUUUAAGAUUAAAGCUAGAAUCCUCAUGUUAGAUAAAAUUUUUUAGGUGGAUGUCAAAUUCGUUAUUGAUUGUCUUGAAUGCCACUCAGUUCCAAGCCCUCUAUAUAAACCCUUGAGGAGUUCUUCAUCUUCACAACAAACACAAAAGCUAUCGCUACCGCAGCAAAACUCAUAUUUAACAUGGGUGUCCUUCGCGUUGAGAAAGAGGUGCCAUCCGCUGUUGCACCAUCAAGAUUGUUCAAGGCUUUAAAUGACUCCCACAAUUUGCUGCCGAAGAUAGCGCCUCAAACAAUUAAGAGCAUCGAUAUUCUUCAAGGAGAUGGAGGUGUUGGCACUGUCAAGCUGUUGAAGUUUGCUGGUGGUAAGUAGUAUACAUAGCUUUAUUAAUUGCUACAUGCAUCAUGCUCGUUCUGUUUAAUUUUCAAAUCCAAAAUCUCACAAACUUAAUUAAAAAUGUAAUUAAAGAAGAUUGAAUUAGUAUUGGGAUUGACAGGUGGCGAUUACCACCAGACGAAGCAAAGAAUCGAUGCACUUGACAAGGCCAAUUUAACAGGCAAGUACACUACGUAUGAAGGAGAUGGGAUUUUGAAAUUGGCUGAGAAAAGUGUGUACGAUAUUAAGAUCGUGGAUUCUGGCAAUGGAGGAAGCAUCUUCAAGUUUGUUGCGGAGAUCCAUGUUAAUGAUGAUAAACUGGUCAAUGAAGGGUACAUAAAGGAAUCCGAGGAACAAGGAUUGGGAUUAUUCAAGCUUUUCGACGCCUAUCUCUUGGCUAACCCCAAUCUCUACGCCUAAAUUAAUCAUCAUAUGCAUUGGCUUUGCCAAUUGCGAAAUUUCUAGCUAGCUAAUUAAAUAAGGCUCGUGUCAUUGUAUGUAAAUAAGCUUUUGAAGCUGAAUGUAAAUAAACGUACGUAUGUAGUGUGUUCGCUAAAUAAAUGUCCAAUCUGCUGGACACAUAUAAGAUAAAUAUCGAUCGUGUAUGAUCAAUUUAUACGUACAUGUUUGCAGUUUCAAUUUCUAAACUUUACUGUUUUUACUUAUUUAUUGAAGUAUAUAAAUACGAUAUCUACUGGGGACCAGGUAUAAAUAAGCUUAAGGAGUCUAAAUCCAAACAAUUAAUAAUAUUUUUUUUUUAUAUUAAUCACGAGGUAUCUUGGGGAGGGCCCCAACUGUGGGAGGCACCUUUAAGCCCGUACCACAACCUAGACUAGAAGUCCCCGCUCGAACCGGGAGGCAUAGGUUCUCCCAACAAAGGCGACUUCCCUGCGACUCGAACUGGGGAGCAAACUCAGUCAAGCCACUUAAGGGGACUCCAUUGUCAGUGGAGCCAACACUUUGUUGGUUUUAUUAAUAAUAUAUUAUAGCACAGCGUAGGGUUGGGUCUGGACUGGACCAAGUAUAAGUAACUCGGUGACAUGUUCCAACAAAGAUUCGAUGAUUUACCAACAAAGUGUUGGCUCCACUGGCAAUGGAGUCCCUUUAAGUGGCUUGACUAUGUUUGCUCCCCAGUUCGAGUCGCAGGGAAGUCGCCUUUGUUGGGAGAAUCUGUGCCUCCCGGUUCGAGCGGGGACUUCUAGUCUGGGUUGUGGUACGGGUUUAAAGGUGCCUCCCACAGUUGGGGCCCUCCCCAAAAUACCUCGUGAUUAAUAUAAAAAAAAAACGAUUCGAUGAUUUGAGAUGUUCAUGCAUGCAUGCAUUUUCCAUCUUUCUGCGCCAAGGCGACCCAAGCUCUUAUUUUUUUCUUUUCUUUUCGUUUCUUAUUCUUCUUCUUCUUCUUUUGAAAAGAAAGUAAACCUUUGAUUAUCAAAGGCCUAGGUAGUCACUACUACUCUGUCACAAGAACGGGCGAUAGAAUGAGAACCUAAAAUUUGAGUCCUACUCACUCUAAAUUAUUCCUUUAUGUUCUAAAUGAAAAGCAGUUUAAUACAUUAGGUCUCAUGAGGUAUUCGAGAAAAUUUUAUAGGUCUGGCUACCUAACUCAGAUUUGUAAAGUGAAACCACAAUCAAAACGGACCUUUAAAAAAAAAAAAUACUACAACAACACAACACUACAACACAAUAAAGUUUCUGGAUUUGAGCUGCGCCAAAUGACAAUAUUACAACAACGAAAAACUGUUACAACAACAAAAAACUAGAAACAAAAACAAAGAAUAUACGACCGACGUUUAUUAGGAAGACAAGGUGAAGUGCAUACGAUGAGCUAAGAUAGACUUGGAAGUAUUGAUAUGUACUCUAGGAUUAUCAAUUGAAUCUACUCAGCUGGCUUUGUUCACCAUAAUUUAAGCUCCAAUAUAAGGCUCGUUGUGUUCUACAAAGCGCACUUUUUCCAUUUCAUAAUAUUGAAAUUUCUCAUAUUGUUAAGUAACACUUAAAUAAACAAGGUUAUAAAUAUGGUUUGAUAAGACUCCCAACAAAAAAAAAAAAUCACUUUUUCAUCUCUCAGAAACCCUAGCCGUUUCAACCAACGAAGCCAAAGACCAGAAAUACAUCAUCACCAUCUUCAUCUUCUUACAGCUACACCGAACAACAUAUCCUAGUCAUUUUAGCUCUCAUUUCAAAAUAGGGAUUCUCAGCAUCUUCCGUCCGACAAAUUUGAUCAUAUCAAAAAGAGAACAAAUAUUGAUUUGGGACAGCAACCAAGGGGAAUCAUUAUUGAUGGGAAUCUUAUAUCAUCUUCACUUAUGUAGGAUUAACAAGUAAGAUGAUGAGAUUUCCUUUGGUACAUAGCUGUCCCAAAUCAGAAGCCAAAAAGAAAACUAUGAUCAAUGUUGUUUUCUUGUGAUAUAAAAGUCAUAAAGCUGUAUAAAGUAGUUUUGAGGUUAUGUUACCGCUUUUCCGCGGCCCCGCGGGGGGCCGGGGGGGGGGGGGGGGUUGUUUAUGUUAUCCCACCGCCAUGGGCGAUCUUUAUUUUUCUGUAACACUUUACGACAACCUUGCUGGCAGCUGCUGUUGAAGAGUGUGUAAUGACAGCAACAUAUAGACUUUGCACGUUAUCUUUAGUUGUUUAUGAUGACAACAUUCAAAUGCAUCUGUUGCAGAACUAAUUAAUUAUGUAAAUAACAACGUCUAUAAGUUGCAUGUUGUUAAAUUCUUUUUUCAAUUUUGUAAUUUUUUUGUUAACUCAGUGUAAUAUGAAAUUGGUGAAAAUUAAAACAUAUAUAGGUGUUCAUAAGUUUAUCCAUAAACAUAUAUAACAAAUAAAAUUUUGUGAGUAUAUCAUUAAAUCAAUAUUUUUAAAUAAUAAAAUAAUAAAAAAUGAAAAUCCAAUUUUUUUUUUGGGUGUAAAACAUUCGGUGUCCCGUAACCGCAUUGGGCCUCGACUAAUCCGGAUUCGGAGUGUAGUCACAGUUAAGGCUCUUUACCCCUCCCAAAUAAAAUCUAAUUUUUAUUCACCAAGUAAAGCGCGGUAAAAGAAAAAAAAAUUACUUAGGUCAAACUCUCAGACUUGACAAGCUUAACUAGAACAUUUGGUUAAAUGACGACAACCCCCAUUAUCUUCAAAUUUUGGUCAUCAAGCUUCCGUUUUAUUUGUCCUUAUAUUUUAGGUUUAUGAGUCCAUUUAAUCAGCUUAUAUAUUUUGAAAAAUGCUUCAAAAUAUUUCUGUUGUUAAAUAUGUUACACUAUUGUUCUUAAUUUUUCUUUACUUUUACAACAAUAAUAAUAACCUUACAAUGAUCUUGGAGACAUUGAUAAAAAAGGGAAAAAAAUGUUAAUUUACUGUAUUCUAACAUAAUCUUUUUUCUUAUCUUUUCUUUUUGUUUCCCUUCUUUCGAAAGCCAUAUUUUAGCUAAAAGAUGCAGAUAAUCAUUCCAAAAUUUUGAAAGCACAAUAAAACUGAUAAGCAAGAAUCAACUCCUACCACGUCUUUGAUGGAUAAAUUCUACUCAAUUUAGUCGCUAAGAGUGUGGGACAUGCCAAAUUUUAAACUUCAGCUGUAGAUCUGCCAUCUGUUCCAAACACUAAUUUUGGCUGCCUCAAACUCAUGCACCCACUUGAUCUAUAUAUAUCCGAUGAAACCAGAAAUAGGAACUCAAUCAAGCUCACCUACUCACUUUUGAUCACGGUUGUCCAGAAGCUAGCAGAGAUUGUUUCUGAUCUGAAGAAUAUGGAAACUUCUUGCACAGGUUAGCUUUUAGCCCACGUUCAGUUGAAUAUCAUUUAUAAUCUUAUUUUACAAUACAUCCAUUUGUGAAUAAGUUUUCUAUAAUGAAAUUUUCAGGUAAGAACGAAUGGACGGAGUGUUUAAUACUUUUUUGUAAUAUUUAGUAUUGUUGAUGACGAGAAAAUAAAUGACAAAGAUCUUAAUCUUCUCGUUGUUCCUCAAUACAGGAGAAACCCUGAUUAUGCUGGUUAAGUGUUAUAAUAUUACACUUUCGUGUUAUGUGUAAUUAAAUAAAAGGAUGGAGAAUGUUAUUAUCUGUCAAUAAUGUGAACAUCAGUUUGUGCUUAUGUACUUUGUUGUUAAUAAAUAAAACUAUUGUGCUUCUAUGAGUUCAUUAAGUUAUUCCGUCAAUGGAUAUAAAAUUGUGUGUGUGUGUGUACGUAUAUCUAUUUGAUUCAUUAUGCUUUCUUUCUUCGUGAAUAUUUUUGUUAAUCAAACUCUACACACUAAGGGAACCGAGUCCUUUAUAAUUAAUGAAGAAUAUUAUUUAUGUUGCUAAUUAAAUGGCAGAUAUCAUCAUGAUAAUAAAAUUUUACCAUAACUAUAUUAAAGGUUCCGUUACUUUAAUAUCUUAAGAGACAAGUUACAAGAUAAAGAAAACACUUAUUUCAAUAUAUUGUAGCCCUCCUUGAAUAAAUCCUUAUUGAAAAAUUAUAUAUAUAUUGGAAAAAGGACAGGUAUACCCAUAAAAUUUGGGAAAAUAAUUACCAAUAGAAUCAUUUGAACUAUCACAUUCAUGAGGACUCGAUUUCUCUUAUGAGAUGACUUGGCCUAUUCACAUUGAAUUUCCUUAUGAAAUGGUUGGAAACACUUGUUCUACUAGAAGAAUUGACAGUGAAAAUUCUCAAGUUUUUGACAAGAGACACCAAAACCAUCUUUUAUUACUUUUUACAACUAAUUUAGUUGUAAAAUGUAAAAUUUACUAACUUUACUUUCAUUGAUGCAUUUAUUAUCUUGCUACAUGGAAUUUUAAAUUGAAUAAAUAAAUAUCUGAAAAACGUGACUCAACUCAUUAACAUUAAUUUAAUUUUGCUGCCAUUGCCACCAAAUCUAACAUCAAACCCUAACCCAGUUUUCAAUACAUGCACAAAUCAGCCAAAGCAUGCAAAAUCAGUGGCUAAAACUGAUAUGAAAAUAAAAAAAAAAAAGAAAAAAAAGGAACAACCACAAACAUUUGCCAGAGCCGAAAACCCACGACCCACUGACUACAAAGAUGAAGAAUAGUAUAGAAUGCAUAUGGUGUAGAAAUAAUUAUGUAAAUAACAACGUCCAUAAGUUGCAUGUUGUUACAAAUUAUUUUUAAUUUUGUAAUAUUUUUUGUUAACUCAAAGUAAUAUGAAAUUGGUGAAAAUUAAAACAUACAUAGGUGUUUAUAAAUUUAUCCAUAAAUAAAUUAUGAGUACAUCACUAAAUACAAUAUUUUUAAAUAAAAAAAAAAUCAAUUUUCAUUCGCCAGUUAAAGCGCGGCAAAAGAUUUUUUUAUAAAAAAAAAUCACUUAGUUCAAACUCUCAGUUUACUUUUGUCACUUGUCAGACCUCAUUACUCUCUCCACCAUUCAAGCUAAUUAAUCAAGCCUCUUAAUCAUCGUCCUAAUAACUGCCACAAAAGGAAAUGAGUGAAUCAGGUACUUUUAUCUUUAAUUUCAUUGGUUUAAACGGAACCUAUCAAGCAAUCAACUAUGCAGUUGCCAUAUUUACAUUGAAUUGGGAGAGAUCAGGUGGAGGAUUGUGGCGUUAAUUUUCUGCAUCAUAUCUUCUCCUUAGAUGGGGGCGGGUUCGAAUAUUGAACUUUGACUUAAUUUUAUAGUAGGUUAUUUGAAAAUUGACACAAAAGUAUUAACUAUUUGAUUGAUGUUCAACAUAAGAAUUAAGACAAGCCUUACUAAAUUUGAAGGAAUUUCCAAGGAUAUAUUUGUGUAUUGAUUUAAUUAAUUUGUAGUUAUAUAUAUUAGAAGAGGUGAAUGAUGGGUCAUGNNNNNNNNNNNNNNNNNNNNNNNNNNNNNNNNNNNNNNNNNNNNNNNNNNNNNNNNNNNNNNNNNNNNNNNNNNNNNNNNNNNNNNNNNNNNNNNNNNNNUUCAUAAAAAAUUAUUUUUAAAACUUUUUCAAAAACCUUUUUUAUUUUUGUUUUUAAAAAAUAAAAAAAACCUUCCAAAAAUUUUUAAAAUUUUUUUUUUUUUUUAAAAAAAAAAGUUUUUUUUUUUCCCUUUUUGAAACCCCCUUUUUUCCCCCCCCCCCAAAACAAGUGAGAUUUAUGGGGUCUAUAGAGCAAUGGCCAUGAGGCGUAAAAGAUAACGUGCGUGUCCACAUGUCAUAUUAUGAUUAUUAAGAAUUUGUGGGUUGAUGGCUCCCAACUAAUUAGGUGAUAAUUUUUAAUUUAAGAUGUGUUGAUUGGUUUCAUGAGCUAAUGUUUAGUAACGUGAUUGGAUAACUAUAGUUUUAAAACUAUAAUACUAUUAAAAUAUAAAUAUUUGUUGUCGUGGUUUAAAAAUUAAGUUAAUUUAAUCUUAUACUUAUUUUAUCAAAAAUUUGUAAUAUGUCUAUUAUUUUUGUCAAUAUUAUUAUUUAAAAAUCAUAUUUACCAUAUAUUAUUAAUUUUUAUGUCAUAGUUAUGUGUGUAUUUUUUGCAGCAGUUGCGACUUAGGAUGACUAUCUAGUUAUUCAGCAUUUGUUGGGGUACAUCGCUACAGUCAUUAGUUUGGUAUCCGUUCGCAUUGGAAAGUUCACCCAAUUCCCGGGUUAAUUUGUGAAUAAUAUUGUCAAAGCUAAAGCAUUGGGACUUUGUUAUUAUUAAGAAUCAUAAUCAGACAAGUACUGCAUACACCGAUCAAAAUCUAACAGUUGGGAGUUAACAACUGUCUUUGAAGCAUCUAAUUUUGCAGCAAUCAAAAUCUGGUGUUAAUUUCCGCCCAAGUUUGAAAAAACAUAAUUCAAAUUAAUUUCCAGGCCGGUAGCCAGAGCUUAUUUAUGGAUCGUUCGAUCUCUAAAUGUCAAAUCUAAUGCUUCCAAGGUCUAUAUAUGCCCUUAAGUUGUUGUCCAUUUACGAAAACUCGAUCAAAAUCUUUUUUUUUUUUUCUAAUAAAGCAAGUUCAUUAUCACAAUUAUUUUCAAUUGUAUUGACAACAUGGGUGUCAUGCGCUUUGAGAAAGAGGUCUCAGCUGCUGUUGCGCCAUCUAGGAUGUUCAAAGCUUUCUUCCUUGAGGCUCACAAUUUUCUGCCAAAAUUGGUGCCUCAAGCAAUCAAGAGCGUUGAGAUUCUCCAAGGAGAUGGAGGUGCUGGUAGCAUUAAAAUAACCAACUUUGCUGAUGGUAUGUCUUAUUCGAUCGAGUUGUCACAUAUGUGUAAACAUAUUUAACAUUUUAUUGUACUUAACUAUAGUAUAAUGCUUUUACAUUUUUAAAAUCAUGAAUCAAUUUAGUACUCAAGAAAUUAGGAUUCUCGCCUUAUUUAAUUUUUGAUACAACAUUAGAUUCAUACUUAUUACAUACCCAUAUAUAUGGGAAAAAAAUAUCAAAACCCUUCUUUGGUAAAAUUAUUUAUUUGUCCUAUUAUUUCAAUAUCCACCAAAAUUUCCUUUAAAGGGUAAUUGAGUCAUUUUGUAAUAGAAAAUCUGAUAGUUGAAAAACGAAUGGAUUUUAAAACUUAAUUUUGAAGUAAAAGUAUGUAAUGUGGUGAACAAAAAACAAUACCUUCGUUUUUUUUAGUAACAAACCGAGUUCUGCUAAUGAAAGUUUGGUGUGAUUGACAGGUGGUAAUUUCAACUACGCGAAGCAUAGAAUUGAUGAACUUGACAAAGACAACUUUAGGUGCAAGUACACCGUGAUUGAAGGAGAUAUGUUGGGGACAAUCCUGGAAUCAAUUAUAUACGAUGUUAAAUUCGAGGCUUCUGGCAAUGGUGGAUCCAUCUGCAAGGUUGCUUCUGAGUUCCAUACAAAAGGUGAUCAAGAGAUCAAAGAGGAGGCACUCAAGGAAGCUGAAGAGAAAGCAAUGGGAUUGCACAAGAUUGUGGAGGCGCAUCUCUUGGCAAAUCCUGAUCUCUAUGCUUGAGUUAAAUUAUUUAUCUUUGGUUUCAUUUUACUAUUUAAAUAUAUGCAUGGCUACUGGUACUGAAUAAGGGUUGUGUCACUAUAUAUGAUUUGUGAGCUUUAAUUAUAUAUGUUUUUUAAUUUCUCUGAGUUUAUCUGCGCGCAGUGGAAAUGUUUACUUGAGCCUUCAAUGUCGUACCUGUGUUUGUUCAAUAAAAUGGCCGAAACUGUUGGAUCUUUCAAUUAUAUUUCCAGUUUGAUUUCCUUCAAGGGAAAGGAUGUCAUAAUUUAAAUGUUGUAUUAGACUUUGUGGGUUAACUGUUACAUAUGAAACUAAUUCUGGUGGCAAAAUCGGUUGUUAAAGAUGCUGACGUGGACCUUCCCCACUUCAGAGAGAGCUAGGAUAGCUUUGUUGACCAUAGCUGGUUUCUGAAGCUGAUUAAUGUGCCAACUUAGUAGCUUGGAACUAGUGUAAUUCUAGGAAUUAUAGAGCUUAUGAAGCUUGAUUUGAAGCUCGUAGAAACAUCUUGUAAUCUGGGAUCCUUCUAGUUGAUAAAGAAGAGCCUGAAGCGCUGGUGCGAUGAGAAUGGCUACCUUGUGGUGCGUUAGUUCUCUGUUUUAUCUCUGAUUCUUGCUGGCGUUUUGUGAUUCAUUUUACUUAGGUGCUAUCUUGAUUAAGAUUCGCCCAAUUGUCUUAUGGUUCAUUCCAUUGAGUCUAAGAUUAGCCCAAUUUUCUCCUGUUGGAUUUACCUAUUUUCAAAUACAAAAUGUCGGUAUUUUCAUAUUCCUUGGUUUAUUUUGUCAUUAAUUUAGAUUGCAAAUUGAUAGCUAGGCAGCAGCACUAACCACCACAAGUGGGUGAACCAAAGAUUGACAGAGACAGCUUUAGAUGAAUGGGAGCUCAUCCGUAAUUAAGGUCUAUAUGGAAAUAAAUGCAAGAUGUUAUGAGAAUUAACCAAAAGAAAAAAGAAAAAUGGAAAGCUGAGAUCUUGAGGUAUGAAAGUCAACAAACGCACACAUUACUUAAUGAUGUUAGACAAACAGACUGGAGUUUCUAAUUUAAUUAGGAAUUGUUUUGUAUUUUCUUAUUUAAGUCAUAUUUCUUUUCUUAUAAGGAAUCAUAAGUUUAUUAGGAAUAAGGAAUCAUAAGUUUAUUAGGAAUAGCAUAAUCCUAACUAAUAUAAAUAGAUUUAUUAUACUUAUUUCUUUACACGAACUUUCCAUCAAUAAUAUUUAAUAAUUUUUCAAUUGAGAUAUUUUCCUCUCUUGUAAGAGUCCUACUUCUUAAAUUUUAAAAAUAUACGCUAUAAUAACAUCUAGUAUUAUUUCUGCACCGUGUCACUUAACGACGAAUUAACGACCUGGGUUCUGUGCAAGAUGCAGAGACAGAGGAAGAGAAUAUUAUUAAUUAUAACGGUAAAGGGGUUUAUUAAUAAGUGGUCUUAUAAAAUAAUCGGAGAUGUUUGUAUCAUAAUACAUUUCAGUUUUCAAGCAUGCUCCUCCUAUUCGUUAAAUCCUUACUUAUAAUGUGCGAGAAGUAAGAGAACUUUCAUUCUCCAUGAAAGAGUAUAACAUUCUUAUUCACAUUGAAACGUUUGGUGUCUAUUUAAUUUAAUCAAUAGUAAUUUAAUCUUCAAAUUUAGUGAAUGAAUUGAAAAGCUAGGUAGCUGGUCCAUAUUGCUCUGUUGCUUGAGCAAAUCAUUUAGCAUCCUUUUUGAUUUUGUGUUGCUAAUGACAGUAAACAUUUUUGGUCACUGGAUGAUAUGGAACUCAUUCACCUAAUUGUAACUUUCACGAAUCCAAAUGUACAUGUACUGCAAAACACCAGUCCGUAUUUUUUCCGAGGCUGUAGCUUCUUUUUCCUUAUUUCAGAAUAAAAGUGAAAUUUACAAGAUGCAACAAAUUUGUUAUCUCAUUUCUAAAACCUAGCAAUGCUGGCUGAAUUUUUGUAAUAUGCCGUAGUUGAAGAGUCAAGUUUAGAAGGGAGAGUUCAUUACCAUCUCAAGUUUGAUGUGUAGUGAUCAGGUUGAAUAAAUACAACUUACCUAAUCCAAUUGGUGAACUUAUUCAAUCUAUGAGAUUCUGUGUUUAUGCAAGUCUGUCGGCCAAAAAAUUCUCCAAGUGGCAAAAACAUAGAGUUAAUAUUGAGCUUGCUUGAGAACAGAUAGGGAGCCAAAAUGUACACUUGCAUCUGGCGCUCAACUGCUUUUACACUUGAAUCAGCUACAAACAAAUCAACAACAUCCAUGCACUACCUAUCACUGAGAUGAUCAUAGCAAGUACUAAUGAUAUGCAAUAAGAUGCAGAAGAAACCAUAUGCAAUAUGAGUCGGCACAAGCACUUUUUUCUAGCUUCUUAUCUAUCUGUACAUAUAUACUUCAUACUCAGUUGUAUGGAUAUAUUAUUCAGCAUAAGUACUUGUGUUCUGGGAAUUAUUGCUUCUCAAUCUUUAACCUCAGUGGAAUGAUUAAAAAGAGAAAGUUACAGGUAUUCAGGGACAUUAUGAGCCUCACUCGAUCCUCAUAAAAUGUAUAGUGCUAACUAAAACCCAAAAAGAGCCUGAAGCUUGACAAAACCAAAAUAAAAUGCAAGUUGUAAUCCAUAUGCAAAAAAGAGAAGACUUGUAAAUUGGCGUCUUGUGUUCUGGGAAUGGCUUGUCUACCUUGGAAGUCUUUGGUGGAUUCCCGGGAGUCGGAAAGAUUGAUCCUUUUCCGAUAGCUGGUUUCAGAAAAAUAAUGGGCUUUUUGUCCUUAUAAUUCCGAGGUCUGGAUUCUGGGUGAGGCUUGUAACUACGAAAGGAUUGCCCGCGGAAAGGCAUAGCAGAGAGAGAAGAAGAGGAGCAGAGAACCACUAGCCCAAGGAGAAACAGUAGCAAGUGUUUGAGUGUGAGAACCAUCUUAGUAUUUUGUUUAUGGUAUGAUUUCAGAAUUUGGUGCCUAUAUAUAGUUGUUAUGCUUUAAGCUUGGCCAUCAUAAUGUGAUAGGUGAACUUGGGUGCCAUAUUUGAGUUGGCAAGGUAGGGAAAGUUGGGGCAGUGCCUUUAGAUGAAUGGAAUUUUAUCUUUUUCACAUAAAAAGAAUACUAUUGAAACUUAUAACCCCAAAAUAUAACAUUUUUCAGAAAAAAAAUCAGGCUGAUUGGAAUGGUGUUGUCUUCACCUAUAAUAAGGAAGAUGACUUGAUUAGACCAUACUCAAAAGAAAUUCCUCUAGUUCUUUACUAGUUCGUAGUUUAAGGAAUCAAUAAUUUUCCCUUUCGAUUUUAAGAAACUCAGUAGUGAAUAAAAUUUGUGUUUACAUUUUUAGGUGUUAUCCUAAUUAACUAAAACUUAAUGUUAGGCGUUGUCUUAACUAAAACUUAGUGUUAGGCGUUGUUCUAAGUGUAUUUGAGUGUAUUAUAGCCUUUGAUGUAAUUUGAUCAAUUUGACCCUUCUAAUAAAAUUUACUAAUUUUUUCCCAAAAAAAACAUUUGACGUGUGAAAGUCAACAAACGCACACAUUACUUUUAUAAAAAAUAAAGAUGUGGGUUGUGUAAUGCCAUCAGGUAUUACAUCAACUAAAUAUAAAUUAUAAACACUAACUUUAUAUCCCUUGCAUGUUCAACAAAUUAAAAAGAAAAAUAUAAUUGUACGAAAUUAUAUGUUAAAUUUGUUUUUUUUUUUGCGUAUUAAACUAUCAAGUAUCUGAAGACUAUAUUGGGCUCCGACUAAUUUAGAUUCGAGCCGGAUAUGACUAUUAAGGCGGUAAAUCGCUCCCAACAAAUAUUUAACGCAGCUGCAUUCCUAAAUUUCGAACCGAUGACAUUUGUUAAGAUAGAACAACCACACGCCAACUGAUUUUCUUCGCUUGUUGGUAUAUGUCAAAUUUGUUAUCUCACAAAAUGAGUCAUAUAUCCUAGAUGCCAUUCCUGGAGUUAACCACAGCCCAUAGGCGUUUGCAAAACAUACAAGCACUAAAUAGCCCUUGGCGGCCGUGGACCACCUUAAUUUUAUUGAAGUGUUAUUUAUUUAUUUUUUAAUUUGUAUCUUGCUUUUUUGAUGAGGAGGCCAUCUUAUUACCAUUGUCAAUAAUAGACCAUAUUAUUUAUUUUCACAGACAUGAAGGAAAUAAGUAAUGUAUUAACAAAACUUGUUUCCUCAAGUAAUAUUUUGUCAAACGUCGGGGACAUCGCCAAAAUUUUCCCUUAGUGAUUUCCAAGUCUAUACUAAAAUCUAUAUAUAUGCAUGUAUAAAUAUAUACUCCCUCAAGUUGUUCUCUUCUCCAUCACCUCCACAUACACAAAACUAUCUUUAUAUUAUUAAUUCAAGUAAAUUCAUAUAUUACUCCUUUCAAAAUUUCUUUAUCUCCAAGCUAGACAUUAUGGGUGUCCUUCGGUUCGAUAAAGAUACGUCAGCUGCAGUAGCUCCAUCAAGGAUGUUCAAGGCUUUCAUUCUUGACUCUCACAAUCUCUUCCCAAAGUUGUUUCCACAAGCAUUCAAGAGCGUCGUUUACGAACAAGGUGAUGGAGAAGCUGGCAGCGUUAAAAUUAUGUACUUCGCUGAAGGUAAUUAAGUAUUCAGUUAAUCACAUCAUCAUCACAUUAUUCACGUCCAAGCUCUUAAUCAAUAAUUAGGUCGUGCUUUUUUCGUUCACAACUGUAUAUGUUAAUUGAUUAACUCUAAUGACAAACUUAAUGCAUGUGAUCGAUUGAAAGGUAAUAAGCACACGUACGCAAAGCAAAGAAUCGAUGUACUUGACAAAGAGAAGUUUUAUUGUAAGUACACUGUAUUUGAAGAGGACAAUAUGUUGGACAUACUUGAAUCCAUUGUGUAUGAAAUUAAGUUUGAGGCUUCCGGCGAUGGCGGAUCGAAUUGCAAAACUGCUACUGAAUUCCAUAUAAAGGGUGAUGGAGAGAGUAAAUUGGAAGAGGAACUCAAGGGCUCCGUAGAGCUAGGAACGGCAUUGUUCAAGGCUGUGGAAGCACAUCUCUUGGCAAAUCCUGAUCUCUAUGCUUGAAUCAUUUUCCAAUUCCAAGUGGGCUUCUAAUAAAUAAGAAUUAAAUAAGCUGAACUUUGUCUGCUUAUUUAUGGUUUUAAACCUUGAUUAAUGUACUAGAUAUAAUAACAUCGAUAAAUUAUGAAGCGUGUGUGAAAGUCCACAAACUCGCCCAUUGAAUAUUACGGUUUAAUUACUUUAAUGCACAUCAAAUUCAGGAAUGUCUGUGAUUAGUCUAAUUUCAAAUUAAUUAUAUACAUCACAUGUUCACAAUUUUCUUUUUUUUUUCCCCAAUCUUAGAAAACAAUGUCGAAAGAAUCUGUUUAAAACAAGGGAGUGUGAUCUUUGAUUUGCACUUGGUGAAAAAAGAGCAAAAUUAUUAAGCCUCAAUUUCCUAGUGUGACUUCCCUUAUGAAAUAGAAAUUUUAAUGGUGAAAUUUAGUAAAAAGUGACUUCUAAAAUAAUAAAGUCAAUUAAUAUAGUUUAAUUAUCACAUAACUCUCAAAGACCUAGGGUGAGCCACUUGUGCCAGACUAUAAUACUAAAUAAAGUCUCACAGGCAUCCAGGAGACAAACAAUAAUUAAUACAACAAAAUGGAUCAUCAAAGUAAGGAGCUGUUUGGAAGUGCUACAUUGUGUGACACCCAAGCAACUGCGCAGCUGCAGAAUAAGAAAUUCUACCAUAUUUCUUUUAGCGGCAGUUGCUACAGUGCAGCACUCCUAAACGAAGCCCGAGAUCAGGCUCCAAAAAUAUAAGUUGUAGGAUCACGUGGACGAAUCGGAUUUUCUCAUGAAUUAUACGACUUUGUUCUCAAAUUUUAUCCUCUAUAGCUUCUUUCGCUAAGAAAAAUUAAGGGAAAUUAUCAUUCGUCCACCCUAAAAUUACAUCGUUAUCAAAAUUACUACAAAACUUUGACAGUGUAUCAGCCGUCCAUCCUUAGAUGACAAAACAUAUCUUCCAACCACCAUUCCGUCAACUGCCGUUUACAACUUAACAGAAUUGAAACAAAAUGACGAUAUUGCCCUUAAGCAUGAAAUUAAUGUUAAAAAGGCAAAACUGCCCUAAAGAUGAAACAAUGCCAAAUGUAGCCGUUGGACUCAACAACGGUAACAAUUUUGGCUAUAUAAUGAGCCAAAAACAGCAGCCUCAUUGAACAACAACAACAACACACACCUCAUUCCUCAACAACAACAACAACAACACACACCUCAUUGAAAGAAAGCAAAAAUUAGCUACUCCUCAACAACAACAAAUCAGCACACACACCUCAUUGAAAGAAACAAAAAAAUUGCUACUCAUUAACAACAAUAAAUCAGCAGCACAUUUCCUUGAAAAUGGCCUCCAGUGAAGCAUCGAGUUCUGGUGUCAGUGGAUUUAAAAGAUAUAAAAAAGUGAAAUGUCAGCCAAAAUAUUGCAAGUGUGGCGUGCAAGCAGUGGCCAUGGUGUCAACUACAUUGCAAAAUCCUAAUGCAGUGUUUUGGUCAUGCAGGUGGAAGCAUUGUGGAGUGAAGCACUGUGAUUUUUGGGAAUGGUUCACUACAGAAUCUCUUAUAUAUCCUACUACUAAUGAUGAGAUGGCAUACGAGCAAAACCUGAAGCUAAAUGAUGAUGUGGUGAAAAUAAAAAAGAGGCUGAAACUCAUUGAAGGAAAGCUUAAAUAUAUCUUAAUUCUGCUGGUGUGUGUAUUUGUAACUGUUUUUAUGAGAAAGUAAUAUGGCUUGAAAUAAAGUUUCAACAGUAAUGGUUUAGCUCAUGUAAUGUUCCUAACAAAAUAUAUCCUUAACAAUACUGUUGUCAAUAAUCAAUCGAAACAGUGAUAGUGUAAUUAAUUAACAUCCAAACCGUGCAAAUAACAUAUCUUCUUCAAUUCAAUAAAAAUCCAAAACAUGGUUUAGCUCAUGCAAGAGCAUAGUGAAAUAACAUAACCAACAUAAGAGUUUAGAAAUCUGAAAUUGACAAAAUUCAAUAACAUAACCAACAUAAGUGUUUAAGAAAUUGAAAUUGAUGACAUGUUUCCCAACAAAUUGAGUAUCAAACUCAUUUUAAAGCACCUGUUACAGUUGACGACUGUGAUGGAUUCUGGAAUUGGUUAGCUUGGGAUGUGUUGACAUCUGUUUUCCUUUUCCUUCCUAAAUUACAAAAGAAAAAAUUAAUCAAACUCUUAUGUAUGCAUUAUGAACUGUGAAUUAUAUAUUAAAACAAAUUAAUGAAACUCAACCUCUUUUACUGGUUGUUCCAGCAACUGCAGUAGUACUUUUAUUUUUUCUUUUCUUUGAUCCAAUAUUGGAACCCUCGCCUGGCCCACUUGCUUGUACUGUCUGCUGAGAUGGCUGGCCUGAAAGACUUGCUGGCUGGCCUGAAAGACUUGUUGGCUGGCUUGAAAAACUUGCAGGCUCGGCUGAAGGAGUUGGUAGUUGGCUUGAAAAACUUGCUGGCUGGGCUGAAGGAGUUGCUGGUUGGCUUGAAAAACUUGCUGGCUCAGCUGAAGCAUUUCCAUCUGAGAACUGUAAACAAUAUAAAUAGUCAGGUUAAGCAUUUGCAUACUGCUGAUCAGCAUGCUUAGUUAGCGUGACCUUUAGAAAAAUGCAAUGACUAUUAUGUUAAAUAAUAAUGAAAACAAUAUAAACAAUAUACUUGAGAAUUAGUACUCCUUGCUCGUGCUGCCCGUGCAACAGAAGGCCUCAAUGGACAAGAUCUUACAUUGUGGUUAGAGCCACCACAAACUGAACAAUUGACAAAGAAUCUCCUGCUGCGUUUCUGAGGUUCAGUUGCUGCUCUCUUCCUACAUUUCUUUGGCCUCCCAAUCUUUUUUUGCACAAUUGGGGGAUCAAUUAGUGGCCUUUCACCACGGUCCCAUGUACGCUCAUCCGGAAUUGGACUAAACAUAACCGAGUACGUAUUAAUGUAAGCUUGCUUGGUGAAGCAAAAUGGUAUGUACUCCUCAAUUUCGUGUCUCGCAUAACCUAUGCAAGCCAUGGCGUGAGAGCAAGGUAAACCGGCAAUUUCCCAAUACCCACAGUCACACGUUCUGUCCUCUAAUUUCACAACAAACUUCCUAGCUGGAUAAUAAGAUUUAUCCAUGACUUGAAAAUUCAAGUCUCCCGAAGGGUGCACGGUCAUUUUCUCUCCUUUCUUGUAAGAUGUAUCCAGCUCUUUAUAAAUCCUCGGAGCAACAGAUUUUGCCCAAGCUUUUGCUUUAUUUUUUCUCUUUGUGAAUCUUUUCAUAAGUCUACACCUAAUCUCCUCAAGCAUCGAUAGCACAGGCCUAUCUCUGUAAGGCAAAAUCCAGCUGUUGAAACACUCAGAUGCAUUAUUGUUAGUUCUCUCAACUUUACAAUUUCUGUCAUAUGCAUGCAUCGACCAAGUGUACCCUUGCAGUUCUCUUUCCAGCCAAUUAUAAGCCGCUAUCUUUUCUUCUUUAAUCAAUGCCAUUGCCUCAUUAAAGUCGUGCCUGUUACUGCUCUUGGCUGCCCUCCAAAAAAGAUUCCGCAACUUGGCACCAGCAUGGUCUUUAGCAAAGUUAGCAUACACAUGCCUACAACAUGCCCUAUGAUAGGCAGAAGGCCAUGUGUUUGGAAUCGCAUUCAACAGUCCCUUUUGCCUGUCACUAAUGAAUGUGACCUGCCUUCCAUCAUCUAAAUAGUUGUGCAAAUGUUCAAGAAACCAGGUCCAUGUUUCAGUAUUUUCAAUUUCGCACACACAUACAGCCAAUGGGACAAUCCCUUUGUUAGCAUCUGUAGCAAUAGCAGCCAAUAACACUCCUCCAUAUUUCCCCUUCAGGUGGCAGCCAUCAAUUCCAAUGAAGGGUCGGCAACCAUUGAGGAAAGCAUUUUUUUGUGCAGGAAAUGCGACAAAGAAUCUUUGAAAUAAACAUUUCUCGGGAUAACUCGCUGUAUCGCAUAAUACCUUGCAAAUAGCACCUGGAUCAGCCUGAUGAAUGGCUGCAGCAUACUGAAAUAGCUUCUCAUAGCCCUUAGAAUGAUCACCGUACACCAAAACCCUUGCUUUUUCUCUAGCCCUAUACAUUGUUAGCUUCUCAAUCUUUAAUCUAAAUUUUUCCUGCAUAUAAGUCCUAAGAAGAGAUAUCUUGACAUUAGCAUCAAUAGCAACAUGCCCUUUUAUCAUUUCAGCAAUCCAUGUAGAAGUAACCUUCACAGAUUUCUUAGUAAGCCUGCACUCAUGCUUUUUGUGGUAUCCUCGCAACCAAAAUCCAUUUCGGUCAUUCAAUCUCGCACCAUUAACAAACCAUGGACAACCAGGCUCUUUACAAGUUGCAUAAUAUCUCCUCGGUUCACUGUAUUUGAUGUUAAUAUUGAACCCUUUCCUAACCAUCACCUCAUGCAGCACUUCUCUGAAAUGACCUACAUCCCUGAACACAUCACCCACCCUAAGCCUAUGUACUCCAUCACCAUCUAACUUAUACUCAUGCUUUUCUAAAUAAUUUCUAAACUGCACACUGCCUAAAUUCAUGUCCUCAUCUGAAGAAUUAACAGCCAUUUGGAACUCCCUAGUAUCAUCAUCCAAAAAAAUAUCUGCAUCGCUAUCACUGUCAUGUUGGUUUCCCCUACUGCCAUCACUGUCAUCACUGUCCUCUACAGGCGCGGUAUCAUCAACAGACACAGUAGGUGGUGGUUGCUCACCAUCACCCUCUUUGCCAUCAUCAUCAUCAUUACUGCCAACCCCUUUGUCUGACCAUUCUGAUAACAAAUCAUCUUCAACAGGCACAGUAGGUUCCUCACCAUCACCCUCAUCAUCAUCACCACUGUCUAAUCUCUUGCCUGACCAAUUUGAUAACAAGUCAUCUUCAUCUUUAGUUGGAUGUCUAACUUUGGAAGUACUCUGAUGCUCUGCUCUAUUAAUCUGAUCAUUCAAUGUAGUUAUAGCUUCUGAAGGCAGAUGUAUCCCUAAGUUAAACAUCAACGAUUGCAGUAAUGGAGAAUCUGGAUAUUGAGGGUAUAACACUGGCACCACUUCAACUUCAAAUGUGUUUAAACCCAUUGAGUUAUGAAUCCCGAAUAAUCUGUUUAACCCAAAAUCAGAAUCCACCACAACCUUCGCUUUGUUAUCUGGAUUCAUAACAGUUAACAAGAUUUGUCUAGCUUCGUUUAACCCAUGUACUCCUGUUAUCUUUAAUGCUUCAACCCUUAUUUUAUCAACAGAACAACUUUCAGGGUAAAUCAAACCUACACAACGUUUUUCUCCUUUGAAAUGAAUCACUAACUCCAUUGGAGACAUGCUGUCAUAUCAAAUGCAACAAAGAAUAACCUAAUUAAAUCCAAACUCAAGCUUUUUCAAAAACUAAAAUAGGAAAUUAAUGAGAUUCUACAGCAAAAAGGACUUCAAUUGACAUACAAAACUUUCCUCACUAUUUCGUUAGUUUCUACAGUCUAGGGUUUCUAACAUUAGUUAAAAAAUGAGAAAUUCAAAUAAUUUCUCACAAGUUCUUACAUAUAUUGAUUAAAUAAUAGAUGCAUUGCAAGAAACAAGUAUCAUAUAUGAACAUACCUAACAACCCGAUCCUUGACUUGUUGUCUUCAAGCGUUAUCAGCUUACGCUUUGAUUCAACCUCCACAGAUGUCAGCUACACUUGUUUGAUGGUUAAAUAUUGAAUGUAUUUGGUGAAAAGAGAACAGAAAUAAGUAGGAAUGGCUGGUAUGCGUGCAAGCUAUCUCUCGAUGAAGGAACAAAUUUGGUGCGUGGCUGCAGCUGCAAUGAACUUUUUGAUGGUGAGGAACAAACGUCGUCGUUCUUUUUUUCCCCCUAAAACGACGUCAUUUUGCAUGGAUGAAACGACACGUCAUCCCAUAAAACGACGUGUCGUCCAAUAAAACAUUCAGUCGUCUGGUAAAUGGCUGACAUGUCAUUUUUUUCCCAUAGCUGCUUCUAUCUUAAAAGACCAUAUUACCCUUAUGACGUCAGCGCUUGUAAACGGCAGUUGACGGAAUGGAAUGGUGGUUGGGAGAUAUGUUUUGUCAUCUAAGGGUGGACGGCUGAUACACUGUCAAAGUUUUGUAGUAAUUUUGAUAACGAUGUAAUCUUAGGGUGGACGAAUGAUAAUUUUCCAAAAAUUAAAGGAAAAUUUGGAAAGUGGUACAGUCAACAAGGGAAGGCUUUAAUUUAAAUGUAACGAUGAGAAAAUAUUUUAAAUGACAAGAUAGACCCUUACCACAAGAUAACCUCCAUAAAAUCUUUAAUGAUGAGUUACCCUUUAUUAUAAUUUAACCCCAAUUGGUUGUUAUUGUUUAAAACAUAAUGCCCCAAGAUUAAAAUAAUGGUCCGACGAUAGCUUCACACAAUAGACAAGUAUUUUGAAUUAAAUACUGGUUUGGAUCUUAUAUCCGCACGAGUAAUAUGAAAGCAUGCAGACACUUGGAUGUGGUGGUGUUGAGCUGCAUUUGGCAAAAUGAUACUAUCUGUUUGGUAGAGCAAUUUAAUCAGACCCAUGCAUGAUUCUCUUAUUCAUUGCACAAAUUGAGGCUCCCUCUACAAAGGCACAAACAAUAAGAGAAAUUUUAUCAAAAGCUCUCGCUUUUUUUGCUUUUGGGCAUUCAUUUGUGUGUACAACUAUAAUUAUCUUGCGGGUGCCGGCCGGCACAUGAAGUCAUGCACUCAAUGACAAUUAUCGGUUUUAGUUUUCUAAAAAAUUUAAGUUUUCUGCUAAUAUUGUAAUGAUUUGAGCCACAUGUAUAAUUUUCCAUUUACUGACCCUAACUCAUAUGUUGAUAGCAUGUGCUUGGUUAAGAAAAAAUUUGAAUGGAUCUAAAUGUUACAAAAAUCUAAAUUCAUAUGUUUGAAUGAUAUAUUUAUUUUUUAUUCUUUUAUUUAUGAGUAUAAGUGGUAAGUUAUUUGUUUUUAUAAAUUCAAAACAUUUUAAAUCUAGUUUUUUAACACUUAUGCCCUCAAAAGUGUUAUAUAUAUCUAGAAGUUUAAAUAGGUAUAUAUUCAUGAUGUUAUCUAGUAUAAUAUUAUUUAUAUGUUAUAAAAAUAUAUAAGGUAAUCAUUUGAUAUAUAAUUUGUGGAAAAUAAUUUUGAUAACAUUAUUUUUAUUGUUAUCUGAUAAUAAAAGAAUAUGCCUAAAUUCAAAUUGAAUUUGUAUGUUUGGUACUUUAUACUAAGUAAAAAUUGAGAUCAAGAGAAAUUCUAAUACGACAUCUAACUUACAAUAUUACAAUUAAUUAAAAAAAUCUUUUUGAUUAGAGAAAAAAAUAAAGGAUUAUUAGAUUUUACAUAAUAGGUAUAAAAUAAAUAUAUUUAAAUGACGAUGUUUGUAAAAAAAUUAAUUUUUCAUUCAGACAUUUGAUCAUAUAAAUAAACGUUAAUUUUUUUUUAACUUUUUCAUUUAGAUGAAAAUAUCUUACAAUAAGAAUUCAAAUACAAAAACAAACAAGGCAAAAUUUAAAAGUAUCUUAGAUUAAUGUAAAUUAAAACUGCAUACAUAAAAACAAAUAAGUGCGUAAUUUGGAUUUUGCUAUGUUUAUAAAUUUUUUUUCUUUUUCUAUUUGCAUUUUAUUAUUUUACAUGUUCACGCUCUUCAAGAUAAUUUAAGGCCUCAAGAAAAUUUUCAAAAUUAGGCUUUUUUAAUAUAAAUUAAGAUAUUGAUGAUAAACAUUUUAUUUUAGAUUAAUUCCUUUUAGAUAGAAAAUCAUUAAUAAAUUUGGUACAUCAAUUCUUGUGCCAAAAUUUUUUGAAGUCACCACAAGAAAAUACAGUAUUGGCUACAAAUUCUAUUGCAACAAAACUUACUUUAUUGCUAAAAUUCAUAUCUUGCAACAAAAAUUAGUCUUUAUCGCUAUAGCUAAACAGAUUUUGUUCUUCUUAAUGACGUGGAAUAGGCAAGAAAAUUAGAAUAUAUGGCAACAAAAUAUUUUCUUGCCCUACGCUAUGUUUGGCAACAAAAGUGUUCUUGUUGCCUAACAAGCUUAAUGAAGGCAAAAUAUGUUUCGUUGCUCAAGUUUUUUCACAAGAAACACUUGAAUCAGUUGCAACAAAUGAAAUAUUGCAAAAAGUUGUGAUUAGCGAGAAAAUUUGUUUUGUGCUCUAAGAGUUUUUUGCAACGAGAUUAAUUUUGUUGCGCAAAGGUUAACAAAAAUAUUAAAUUUUCCAAUAUUGCUAAUAGCAGAUUGUUGCACUAAAGUUCCAUAUGAUGUUCAAUAACUAUUAUGUGGCACCAUUAUAGCCUCAUGUUUCACUAUAAUUAGUAUAGUAUUUCUUGUCUGGCAACCAUAUUCCUCUUUUGACACAUCUUGAUAAAUUGUUAAAUUAUUUUAAUUAUGAUUCCAAAUUUACUUUUCAGGUAAUAAGGUUUAUAAUAAUAUUUUAUACAAAAUUUAAAAUGAUGACAUUAAAUCUAAGAAAAACGAUGGUUUACUUGUUUAAAAAAGAUAUCAAUGAUAAUAACAUAUAAAAAUUACAAUUAGUAAUAAUAUUGAUCAUAAUAAUGAAUUGAAGUAUGAAUAAUGAUCAUUGUAGUGUGUUAUUGUACUAUCAUUCAUUACAAGCAAGAGGAAAUUAAAUGAAUGAAGAAUCAUUACUAAUUACAUCAAUUUUAUUGGACAACUAAUUACAUCAAUUUAAAAUAAAUUACUUAGUGGGGUGUGUGUAUUCGCAAGUUGGUAAAUUGGAUUAAUUCAAUUUUUCUAGUAAGUAUAAUUUAUUAGAGGAUCAAAAAGGUCUUCAAUAAAUUAUUAUUGGAAAAUACUGAAAUUAAUAUUAAAAAAAUCAAUUAACAACUUGAAAGUGUAUUAUUGAAUAUUGAUUCAACACAACACUUAACUAACUAUAUAUGAAGGUUGGGGAGAUUUCUAUAAAUUAAAAAAUUAAAAAAAUAACAUGUAAGCUAAAAUUAAUAAAUGAAAAUAUAAAGAUAAUAUAAAAGCAAACAUGACUUUGUGGGAGGCUUUUUAUUUCCGCGUCCUUUAUUUAAUAAACAGCGCGCUAACCGAAGUAAAGUUUCCAUCUCCAAUUUUUUCUUAAUUAAAAUAUUGCUUCUAGAAUAUUUCCACUUUACUCUCGCUUGUUUCUUUUGCCCAGCCAUGGAGUUAUUCUCUCUGCCCAAGCUUUAAGCCACUGAAGAGUUGUACUUGGAAGGCACCACUCAAGACAACGAUUUCUUCAAGUAAAUUUAGUAUUAUUUUAUAUAUUGGCCUGCUGAGUUUGAUUUUGUUUAGUGGGUUUUGCUUUAAUUAUUUAUUAAGUGGGUCUUUGUUUUAAUUUUUAAUUUGUUAAAUUAAAGUUAAUGGAUUAUUUUGAUGUCUAUUUGUCGUUAAUUCAUCUAAAGAAUUAUUAUAUACUACAAUAAUUAAAUAAUACUUGAGGAUUACAUUCUUUCUCAAACUUCUGUUAAUAGUUUUUUGAAUUUUUAACUCUAUUUCACAGAUGAGUUAAUUGUUUGGGAGUUUCGUCUUUGCUGAGAACAAAAAAUUGAAGAAAGAAUUGAAUUCUAAUUAUUACCUUCAGCUUUCAGGUACAAUUCAUUUUUUUUAAAGAAUUGUCCAUAUUAUUGUGUAAAAUUAUUUUAUUUUUGUUUUGUUUUUGUUCCCUACAUAUAUUAAUUUAUAGUAUCUAGCAGUGAACAAUGGAUAGGAGUUGGAUGCAUUUGCGAAAUAAAUUAUGUAAAGAAUACUUAGAUGGUACCAAGUCUUUUAUGAAGGUUGCUGAGCAAUGUGCACAUGAGAAUAAUCUUGUUCGUUGUCCAUGUAAAGAAUGUCAAAAGUUUGAUAUUGAUUUGAACUUACCACAUGUUCGUCGAUGUGUGAAUAACAUUAUGGGUGGGAGAUAUCGGGAUAUGAGACAUUGGAUGUAUGAUCAUUACUUGGAUUAUCCAUCCCUUGAAGAGGCACUUAAGCAUUCAUAUCCAGGCAUAUGUCCAGAUGAUUAGGCUUGGCUUUGUCAUAACAUUUACAAUUCCGCAAGUUUCCAGGUCCAAUGAUAUUUAUAUUAUGAACUUUAAAUUGGCCAACUAGUUGUCAAUAUGCUUGUAUAUGUAUCUUAUUUUCUACUGUUAUAUUUUUUUAAUGUAGACUCAAUCUACCAAAAACAAAGCUAAUCGUGCUAAGCUCCCAUAUGUCCAUUGUGGGGGAUCAAGACCUUUUGUUAAUUAUCUUGAGGAUGACAUGGUUGAUGGUGAAAUAGAAUUAUUUCGCGUCACUCAUUUCAGCAAGACAAAAGGUUGGGUGAAUGAGGUGGCACACUUAAACCAUGUAAGAUGCUUUAUUGGAAAUAAAAUUUUUAAUUUUAUUAUUUCUUAUCACCUACAUACUGUUGAUGAAAGUUUACUCAUUGAGUUUUUUUUUCUUAAUUUUUCUUUCAUGCUCCAAUUAACUUUAUUAUUUGAAAUAUCAAAUAAUUAGAUUUAUAAGUAUAACAACAAGUUUAUUUUUUUUUUCAAUUUACGCCUUAAUACAAAUUAAUUCCAUGACCAAUGGAUUAAAUUUCAACUGUUUAAUUAAUAAAAUUCUUUUUGUUCUUUCUUCAUUUACUAACGAAGCUUUAUGUAUAGGACCAAAUGGUAGAGAUACAACAACAGCAACAAACUGAUCCUGAAGAAACAAAACCACUAACUCAAAGGGAAAUAUGCAUUGAAGUACUUGGAAAGAAAUCAGGCUAUUUUCGAGGACUUGGCAACGGACCACGCCCAACUUCAAACCAUGGUGUUGAUACUUCUGAGGCUGACAGAUUGCAUGGUAUUAUAUCUUCACAACAAAGUAGAUUGGAUUCACAAGAUGUUGAGCUUCAAGAGCAAAAGAAGACUAUUGAUCAAUUGGAGUCCAGAUUGUCCCAAUUUGAGGGUAUGAUGCAGCAAUUUUUUUCUUCUCAAGGAUCCGCUUUUCGCUUUACAGAUUCAGCUACUCAAUGAUUACAUAUUUCAAUGAUGUCCUUAGAGUAUCUUGAACUUGUUAGUAUUUUGAAUUGGCCAUCACUUGAUCUUUUUGGUUACUGCUGGUGCAUGUCAUAUCUUUAAGUAUUUGGAGUUUGGAGUAGCUGUAAUUAGAGAUCGUUUAUAAUUUUUGCUCAUUACAUUUUUGGGAUAGAUGACAAUCCACUUUUGUAUUUGACUAUCAUAUGUGAUUCUUAAAGUCAAUUUUGUAUAUAUAUAUAUAGCUUGGAUAUUGAAUGGGCCUUUAACUUUUAAAUUAGUUCAAUGACGUUAAUGAUUUUUUUGUUAGAUUUCUCAACAUAUAUUUCUAGUUUAUUAUUGUCAUGGUAGGGAAAAAAAUUGGGAACUUGGUUUGCUUCCUUUUAUACCAUGAUAUUAUUAAAAAAAAUUGUAGUAUUUUUUAAUGACAAAAUGAUUUGUUUCUAAAAAUAUUUAAAUAUUUAUUGCAAAUUUGUAAAAUAUUCAACAUAAAGAAACAAAGUAGUUUUGUUGCCUAAAAUGAUCUUAGCUAACAAACACCUUUGUUGGUAUGCGUUUUUUUUAUGUAGUACAGCAACAAAUUAGUUUUGUAGUAAAUAACUAUAUAGAAACAAAAUAAUUUUAUUGUGUAAAAUUGUUUGGCGCAACAAAAUAAUUUUGUUGUGUAAAAUUGUUUGGCGCAACAAAAUAAUUUUGUUGUGUAAAAUUGUUUGGCGCAACAAAAUAAUUUUGUUGUGUAAAAUUGUUUAGCGCAACAAAAAAGUUUGUUGCCAAAUUAUUUUCUAAACAAGUUGAAGACUCAUUCACAACGAAUCUGUUUUGUUGCGAAAGGAAGUUUGAGGCGAGAAAUGCUUUGAUAUGUUGUUAAACAUAGAGGGCGACAGUGCUAGGCCGACGACCGGGCCGACAAGCUUGUUUUUGUAGCAAUAACCUAUGGCAACAAAAUUGGCACUUUAGGCAACAAAAUCUUUUUGUUGCAAAAAGCCAUUUCUGUUGUGGUGAGUGUACAUAUAUAAAUGUUCCAAUUUACUUUAGAAUCAUGGAUUUAUCAAAAUCUAGAAAAUUUAUUAAACAAUGUGGUUUAAUAAUGUAAUGAUUGUAGUUUAAUAUCUUUCUCGGACUUUAAUAAAUACAAGAUCCUAAAUCAUCUCUUUCUCUCUCUCUCUCUCUCUCUCUCUCUCUCUCUCUCUCUCUCUCUCUCUCUCUCUCUCUAUUUAUAUAUAGAUAACGUUGAACAUGAAUUUCAUUUAGUAGGAAAGAAUAAGAAAUUAUGUUAAACAACUUUAGUGAAAAAUAGAAGCCAUUACCGAAAUGAAUAUAGAAAUUCAAAAUUUAAAUAUAGAGAGAUUAAUAUUAAUUAAUUUGCUAAUAACAUUUUUCAUGUCGUCCUAUAUUAAUUUAAUUUUAAAUUAAUACAAUUGAAAAGGAUAGUGAAGCAAAGAAUAUAUUAGAUGAAAUAGGUUAAAUGUAAUCUCUAUAACAAAAUUAUGUAGUUCAGAAUUAUCACACAAACCCUAUUAUGUUCAUAGUAGAAAGAAAAGUAGGACUAGUGGCAUCCCUCUAAUUUCCUUUUAGCACCGCCAUUUAACGUCGAGCCUGAAUUUAAUUCCAAAAUCAUUCUUUUCCUCAAUAAACAUUUAAAUUCAAAAUUUUCAGUUUCUUCCUCGUUUUGUACUCGUCUACUAGGCCCAGUAGCCUUGCUGCCCGUCAUCAACAUGGACAAAAUUUAUAAUAUCAGUCAUUUACUCAUUUAAUAAACCACAUAUACUUGAAAUAACUAUAGUUAAAAGAGGACACAACAAGCUUAAUUUCAGGAAAAUGGUAAGAAAAUUUGAAAUAUAGUUCAGACCUGACACCCUUAACCAGAACAUUUGAUUAAUUCUUAAACGAGUCUAAUUUUUCUCAGAUAACGAAGACAAGUAGGCCAAAAUGAUUACAACUGCUGUUAUCUAGAGACUUUGGCCACCAAGCUUCCGUUUAAUUAGUCUCUAUAUUUUGGGUUUAAGUAUCUGUUUAAUCAAUCCAGGAAUUUUGAAAAAAAGAUGAAAUUAUUUAAAUCUACUAAUUUCCUCUCUAUACCUUCUUUUUAGUUAAGAAUUUUAUUAUUUAAAUAAUUUUUUUUAAAAUUACUUAAUUAAUUGUUUCUCUUUCGCUUUUCAAUUUCAUAUAUUCUCAUAAGUUCAUUCAACUAUAUUAUUUUAGCUGCAAAUAACUAGUAUUACUAAUUAAGAGGAACCAAACCCACUAUUGAAAGAUAGACAUCAAUAGGUUCUUAUCGGACAUUAAAUUAAGUUAAUGAAUAUCAAGAAAUUAAUUUUUACCAAAUUCAAAAGUUUAAAAAAUUAAAAAAAAAAUUCUCCUAUAUAAAAUGUAUGAAAUAGGAAUCAUGAUAUAAUAAGAAAGACCAAAAAAUGAAUUCACAUUAGAGUGAAAUUGAGUGUUCAAAAUGUGAGAGUAGAGAGAAGAAGAUUAGUGAAAAGUGAUUUUGAGAUUUUAAAAUUUUUAAUUACUUAAUAAUGAUUUUUUUUUAAAAAAAAAGUAUAAAGAGAAAUUUGAUGGGUCCAAAUAGUCUUCCGAGAAAUGCUUUAAAAUACUUAUGCUGUUAAUUAUAUACACAACUGUUAUUAAUUUUUUCUUUACUUUUACAAUAAUAAUAUCCUGACGAUGAUUUGGAAAAGUAAAAAAGAAGAAGUUAAUUUACUAUAUUCUAAGAUAAUCUUUAAUCUUAUCUUAUCAUUUCUUUUCGUUUUUCUUCUUUUAAAAGUAAAUUCCUUCAGAUUAAACCAAGUUAAAAAAAAUAUUUUAGCUAAAAGAUACAUAUGCUCAUUUCAAACUUUUAAACGCACGAUAAAAAUUGAUAAGCGAGACUGCGAGAGUCUAGUCCAAGUGUCCAACCACGUCUUUGAUGCAUAAAUUCUACUUGAUUUAGUCCUUGAUAGUGUGGGACAUGCCAAAUUUUAAACUUCAGCCGUAGAUUUGUUAUCUUCACCAAGCACUAAUAUUGACUGCCUCACAUCCAUGUGUUAGGAAAUUGGUGGGUGAAGCAGACACGCAGCUAAAAUAAAAUUGGAAGAAAAUAAAGAACAAGCACACUAGAGGACACCAGAAAUUACGUGGUUCGGCUUUUAGCCUACGUCCACGGGCGAAGACAGAAAGAAAUAUUAUACUAGUGAAAAGGAGUUACAAGUAUUGUAGUAUUUUAUCUCACUACCCAAAACCCCAAUACACCCAAACUCUCAAAUCACUAAGCACAAAAUUCUUUGCUCUUGCAAGAAUUACUUCUCUCAACUCUCAACUCUCUCUACAAAAAUUGAAUGCAAAUGAAUCAGGGGGCUCUUCCUUUUAUAGCCAAAAAAUGGCUAUUAAAUUAAUAUAUAUAUGUAUAUAUUUCAAAUGUAGUUGCCAACUUCUUCUUUUUCUCCAUUUGGAUGGCACCAUUUUCUUUGGCCGGCUGCACCAUUUUCUUUGGCCGGCUUGUCAAAGCCAACUUGAAUUGGCUUUGUGGCCACCGGCCUUUGACAUUUCUCCCACUUGGAGAUUUGAUUGAAAAUCAAUCAAUCUCCACAUCAUCCUUUCUGCUUCGCCAUAAACAUGUUGCCUAAGUUUUUGUUAGGCCACUAGAGGAUCUACUCCAAACAAACUUAUCAAUAUUGAUUGGCUUGGUCAAAACAUCUGCUAGGUUCUCCUUGGUAUGGAUUUUCUGCAAAUCCACACUUCCGUCUUCCACUACUUCUCGAACGAAGUGAUACUGAACUCCUAUGUGCUUUGUCCUGGAAUGAAAGGUUGGAUUCCUUGCAAUGUGCAAGGCACUCUGACUGUCACAAAACACAGAAAUUUUCUGUUGUUUGUGCCCGGGCUCCUCCAAUAGCCUUUGUAUCCAAAUAGCUUUCUUGCAAGCUUGUGUAGCUGCCAUGUACUCUGCUUCUGUUGUAGAUAAAGCCACAACAGUCUGCAGUUUCGAAACCCAGCUUACAGCUGCUCCCGCAAGUGUAAACAUAUAACCAGUAGUGGAUUUUCUUUUAUCAAGAUCUCCUGCAAAAUCUGAAUCCACAUAGCCCCUGACAGUAAACUCUGAUCCUCCAUAACAUAAUGCAACAUCUGAGGUUCCUCUGAUGUACCUCAGAAUCCUCUUCACAGUUAUCCAAUGCUCUCCACCAGGAUUUGCCAUGUAUCGACUGACUGCUCCCACUGCUUGUGCAAUGUCCGGUCUUGUACAUAUCAUAGCGAACAUCAAACUUCCCACUGCUGAUGCAUACGGUACUCGAGACAUCUCCUUCCUCUCUGCUUCAUUGCUAGGACACAUACUUGAGGAUAAUUUGAAAUUAACAGGAAGUGGGGUAGAAAUUGACUUACAAUCUUGCAUGUUGAAGCGCCGCAAGAUUUUCUUCAAGUAAUUUUUCUGAGAAAGCCAAAUCUUCCUGUUAUUUCUGUCUCGGUGAAUUUGCAUCCCUAGAAUCUUGUUUACUGGUCCCAAGUCCUUCAUUUCAAACUCCCUAACAAACUGUGCCUUCAAUUCUUGGAUUCGAUCUUUGUUGGGACCUGCUACCAACAUGUCAUCCACAUACAACAGCAAAAUGAUGAAAUCAUUAUCUUCAAACCUCUUGUAAUAUGCACAAUGGUCUUAACUGAGUCUAUUGUAUCCAAGACUCAUAAUGAAGGAAUCAAAUCUCUUAUACCAACACCUCGGCGCCUGUUUAAGACCGUAUAGAGAUUUGUUCAACCUGCAAACCAAGUUCUCCUUUCCUGUUUCUGCAAAACCUUCUGGUUGGAGCAUAUAUAUUUCUUCUUCAAGUUCUCCAUGAAGAAAUGCAGUUUUCACAUCUAACUGCUCUAGAUGUAGGUCAAAUGUGGCACACAUUGCUAAGACUAUUCUGACUGUUGUGAGUCGAACCACCGGCGAAAAUAUCUCGUUGAAGUCAAUACCUUCUUUCUGAGCAUAUCCUUUCACCACCAAUCUCGCACGAUACCGCUCCACUUGGUCAUUGUCAUCACGCUUGAUCUUGUAGACCCAUUUGUUUCCAAUGGCUUUUCUUCCACGUGGUAGUGGUACAAGUUCUCAUGUCUUGUUCUUGUGUAGAGCUUCUAUUUCUUCCUGCAUUGCUGUCAUCCACAAAGCAACAUCUGAGCUUUCUAAAGCUUCAUGGAAUGUUGAUGGCUCUCCAUCCUCUGUUAGAAGACAGUAUGCAACGUUGAUCUCUGUGACAUACUCCUAGUGCCACGCCGGCGGUCGUCUCUCACGAGUUGACCGAUGAACUUCUGGAGCCUCAGACUCGACUGGUUCUUGUUCCUCGUGCUCUGGUGCUGCUUCAGAAGAAUCUGAAUCUUCUAGAUUAUUUUUAACAUAUACCGGCACAGUCUCUAACUUUUCUUUUACAGUGCCAUCAUCUCCAUCUUUUCUUUGCAGUUGAUCUUCUAUAAAAAUAACAUCUCUGCUGAUGACGAUCUUGUGGGCAGUGGGGUCCCACAGACGAUACCCUUUUACUCCAUCAGCAUACCCCAAGAAGAUACAUAUUCUAGAUUUUGGAUCCAGCUUUGUUCUUUCUUGGGCAUUGUACAUCACGUACACAGGACAUCCAAAUGCAUGUAGGUAGGAGUAAUCAGCUGGCUUUUCAGUCCACAUCUCCAUCGCUGUCUUCAGUCCAAUAGCUGUAGAUGGCGAUCGAUUUACUAUAUAACAGGCAGUUUUGGCUGCUUCUGCCCAGAAUGAAUUGGGUAGACCAACAGUCCUCAACAUAGCUCUUAUUCUUUCUGUAAGAGUUCUGUUCAUCCGCUCCGCCACUCCAUUUUGUUGAGGAGUGUAUGCCACCGUGAACUGCCUCUGAAUACCUUCUUGCUUACAGAAAGCAAGAAACUCGCCCUCUGUAUACUCUCCACCAUUAUCUGUCCUCAAGCACUUGAUCUUUUUACUAGAUUCAAGUUCCACCCGUGCUUUGUAUUCUUUAAACACUGGAAAUACAUCUGACUUUUUCUUAAUUGGAUACACCCAACAUCUUCUGGAAUAAUCAUCAAUGAAAGUCACCAUGUACUUUGCACCUCCCAUAGAUAUAUCCGGUGAUUCCCAAACAUCAGAAUGAAUCAAGUCUAGAAUGCACUUACUUCUAGCAAUAGAUCUACUGAAUUUUAAUCUAUACUGCUUACUUGUAACACAAUACUCGCAAAAUGGUAAACUUACCGAUUUGAGCCCUGGAAGCAAUUUUCGCUCAGAGAGAAUCUUCAAACCUUGUUCCGACAUGUGGCCAAGUUUGAGAUGCCACAUCAUCGUUGAGAUGCCACAUCUCCUUUAAGCAUGUAUAAAUUAGCACCGAUCUUUUCUGCCUUCAUCAAUACAAGCGCGCCUUUAACGAUCUUCAUAAUUCCAUUCUCCACAUGAGUUUUGUACCCAUGACUAUCCAUUUGUCCCAAAGACAAUAGAUUUUUCUUCAGGCCAUUGACAUGUCGUACUUCCCCAAUUGUGCGAAUUGUACCAUCAAAUAUUUUUAUUUUGAUAGUACCAAUACCAGCAAUCUCCAAGGCAUGAUCAUUACCCAUAUAUACAGAUCCUCCUAAGAUAGGUUCAUAUGUGUGGAACCAUUCUCUCCUAGAGGUCAUGUCCCAGGUAGCUCCUGAGUCUAUAAGCCAGACAUCAGACAGUCGUUUUCUGCCUUCUGAAACAGUUGUUGCCUCGCUGUAGAGUAUUUCGCCAUCAUCCGAGGUACUUGCUACACACCCCUGAGCAUUUGAUGACUCAGGUUCUUUACCCUCUCUUUUCUUCUGAUUACUCCAACACUCUUUCUUGACGUGCCAUUUCUUGCCACAGUUGUAGCAUUUAACAUUCUUCUUACUUCUGAAUUUUGAUCUACCAUGAUUUUGACUCCCACUAGGGCCACAUUCCGUUGAUCUCCCUCUCGUCACCGAUAGCGCCUCCGCUUGCUGCGAACUUGCUUGUCUGUUUUCCUUAUUUUUCCGCCUGCUCCCCUCAUUUAAUACGGAGGCUGCAACAUCGUUGAAAACUAGACUGUCCGCUGGAUUAUUGUUCGUCAGGUUGAUGAUGAGUUGAUCAUAUGAAUCUGGUAGACUUUGAAGUAGAAGCUCUGCACGUUCAUUUUCCUCUAUAUUAUGACCCAACGUUGUGAGUUGUGAAAAUAGAGUCUUCAAGGUGUUGAUGUGGUCGGUCACCAUUGUAGAUUCCGCCAUUCGAAGAGUAUAGAGUUUUCUCUUCAAGAAGAUUUUGUUGUGUAGUGACUUGGCCUCGUACAAUUUUGUAAGAGUAUCCCAAAUUCCCUUCGCUGUAUUUUUCUCUGCCAUACUGGAUAAUACUCCGUCUGCAAGUGCCAAGUGUAGAUCAGAAAUGGCAUUGCCAUCUAUCUCGUUCCACUUGUCAUCAGUUAUCUCCAUGGGCCUUUCUCCAAUUGCUGCCAAGCAAUUAUUUUUCCUCAAUACAGCUUUCAUCUUCAUUUUCCACAAUGAAAAAUUAUUUCCGUUAAACUUCUCAAUUUCAUACUUUGCCGCCAUUUUGUUGAUAAAUACUGCACACAAGCUAGUAUACCACCUUGAAUAGUUGUGAGUAUGUGUGAGAAUGUACACCAGGAAAGUUCCCAGGAAAGACUGGAGGGGUCACAAUGGUCCCACUUAAAACCCAGACUCCUUAAGCUCUUAUCGCCUUUGUGACAGAACUUUCCUAGACAUGUACAAAACCACAUAGUUGCUUUACUCACACCACUAUUCCCUGCUUUGCACCGCCAAAUUCUUGGAUUGCUUCCACCGUUUCACGUGAAUAGUACCGUAUACUUAAAUAGUACCGUAUAUGUGUACAGUACCGUAUACGUGAAUAGUACCCCUUACGUGAACAGUUCCUGACUCCAAAAAAUACAACCAAUAGCUCUGAUAUCACUGUUAGGAAAUUGGUGGGUGAAGCAGGACUGCAGCUAAAAUGAAAUUGGAAAUAAAAUAAAGAACAAGCACACUAGAGGACACCAGAAAUUACGUGGUUCGGCUUUUAGCCUACGUCCACGGGCGAAGACAGAAAGAAAUAUUAUACUAGUGAAAAGGAGUUACAAGUAUUGUAGUAUUUUAUCUCACUACCCAAAACCUCAAUACACCCAAACUCUCAAAUCACUAAGCACACAAAAUUCUUUGCUCUUGCAAGAAUUUCUUCUCUCAACUCUCAACUCUCUCUACAAAAAUUGAAUGCAAAUGAAUUAGGGGGCUCUUCCUUUUAUAGCCAAAAAAUGGCUAUUAAAUUAAUAUAUAUAUGUAUAUAUUUCAAAUGUAGUUGCCAACUUCUUCUUUUUCUCCAUUUGGAUGGCACCAUUUUCUUUGGCCGGCUGCACCAUUUUCUUUGGCCGGCUUGUCAAAGCCAACUUGAAUUGGCUUUGUGGCCACCGGCCUUUGACACCAUGCACCCACUGGAUCUAUAUAUAUCACAUGAAACCAGAAAUAAGGACUCACUCAAGCUCACCUACUCGCUUUUGAUUACGGUUCUCCAGAAGCUAACAGAGAUCGUUUCUGCUUUGAAGAAUAUGGAAAGUCCUUACACAGGUUAAUUUUUAGGCCAUGUUCAAUUGAAUGACAUUUAUAAUUCUAAUUUUAAUAUAUGUGUUUGUGAAUAAGUUUUUUGUUAUCAAUUUUUCACGUAAGAAAGAAUGGUCAGAGAGCGCACUGAUUAUUCUAAUAGCUAGUAUGUUUGAUGAUGAGAAAAUAAAUGACAAUGACCUUGAUCUUUUUUUUGUCCCUCAAUACGGGAGGUACCCUGACUACACUGGUUAGGUGUUACAGUAUUAUACUUUUAUAUUAUGUUUAAUUAAAUAAAAUGAUGGAUAAUAUUAUUAUCCAUCAAUGAUGUGAAUACAUGUUUGGUUUACUCAACUACUAAGGUCUUGUGGGAUAUACAAAAAAAUUUCUUUCUUUAGCGCAUGUAUUUUGUCUUUCUUAAUUAAUAAAUAAAAUUAUUGUGUUUAUAUGAGUUGACUGAAUUAUUUUGGCAAUAGAUAUAAAACUGUAUUAUUUUAUAUAUCUCUAUUUGAUUAAUUGUGCUCAUUUUCUUCUUGAAUAUUUUUGUUAAUCAAACUCAACAUAUUAGUUAGCUAAUUCUUGCAGCUCCUGCGGGGCCAAAAUCUUUAUAAUUAAUUAAUAGUACUAAUACUAUUUAUGUUUGUUAUUUGUUAAUUGAAUGUCGUAUAUCAUCAGGAUUAUAAAAUCUUACCAUAACUAUAUUAAGGGUUCUCCAACUUUAACAUGAUAAAGGACAAGUUAAAAAAUAAACAAAAUACAUAUUUCAAUAUACUGGAUUAAAGAUGGCUGCACCCCUAUGAUGUAUAAAAAUAAUCACAAAGACUAUCAAAUUUUUAAUAAAAAACACUAAAACCCUCUUAUAUUACUUUCUACAAUUAAUUUCGAUAGAAAAUUUAAAUUUACUAUUAUGUAUUUAUGAUGCACUUACUACCUUCCUACGUGGAAUUUUAAAAUAAAUAAAUAAAUAUAUGAAAAAUGUGGCUAGCUCAUUAGCAUUAAUUAACAAUUUUGACGCCACUGCCACCAUCUAACAUCAAAACCUAGCCCACUUUUCAAUAUUUUCACAAAUCAGUUAAAGCAUGCAAAAUAGUGGUUAAAAAUGAUUACGAAAAUUUAAAAAAGAAAAAACCCACAAAUAUUUGCCAGAGCCCUUGAAAACCCGAGACCCACUGACUAUGAAGAUGAAGAAUAGUAGAAUGUAAAAUAUUCUGGAUUAGUAUUUUUUAAACUUCAACCAUGCACUGGUUGUUGUAACAUUUUAGAUUGAUUGUAGUUCAGCAACAGGAGAAAAAUAUUUAAUAAGAUAAGUUUUAUUUAUUUAUUUAUUCAUAGUGUGGAGGAUAGAAGAUGAAGAUAAUAGUAGAGCGCGAAAGGUGUGUUUAAUUGGUGUACGCACGAAUAAAAUUUUUGGCUGGUUAAAUUAUGGCCUUGAGUCCGAAUCUUUAAAUUCUAAGUUAACACGAGAUAAAAGCAUUAAAAUGUCUUUUUUUUUCAUUUAAAUUCUGUAAAAUGUAAUGAAGAGGGUUUAAUGUUCUUUAUUGAAAAUUUAAAAGUUCUCAUGAUUAAUUUUAUAAAUCAUAGAGGUGUAAUUAUCCUUUUUAUAAGUUACAUGCAAAUCAACUCAUCACAUGAAUAAAAUCCUUAGCCACCUAUAUUACUACCUUUGGGAGCCUCUGGGACUAUUUUUCUAAAGUGUACGUGGCUAUCUUUUGACCACAUGCAAAAUGAAUUCAUCACAUGGACAAAACCCCUAGCCACCAGUGUUAUAGAUUAGCAGCAUUACUACUUUCCUAUAAAUGAGUACAAAUCAUGAUUCCUCAAGUUAACAGUAUCUCCUCCAACAAUCAUUCCUCUAAAAUCUCUGCCAUGGUUACUAUCCGUAAUAACAUAAUUUAGUUAGGGAACAUGUAAUUAUACAAAAGUAUUCUCAAGUUUCAGUCAAUUAUUUUAAUUUUUAUGGUAUGAGAGAGCUAUGGCUUCAAGUUCAAGAUCUGAGCUAUCUCUUUCAUUACAAUACUUUCAUCACAAUACUUUCAUCAGUGUGCGAGUUUAAUUUCCUUGAAACUUACCUCUGAAAACUAUUUCAUAAGGAGUUCUCAAGUUCAACCGCUUGUUUACAGUCUUUGCCUUGAACACCAGUUGGCUGAUGUUGAGCCUUCAUCUAAAACGAUUAAAGAAGAUGGAAAGGAAAAUAUUAAUCCAGACUUAAUCGUUUAGAAGCACAAUGAUGGCUUGCUCGCAACUUGGUUGAGGAGCAUGAUGAAUGAAGAUAUUUUGGGUACAAAAGUCGGGUUGCAAACAGCCUGUGAUAUCUGGCUCACAAUUCCGAAGUGCAAGAAGCAUGGCUAAAAGAUAGCCCAUAUUCUCUGAAGAAAAGUUAGUCUAAACUAGCGAGUUUUCUAACUAGCUCGUGCGCUCGGGUCAAGAUAUUCCGAUUUCAAAACAACCAUGUUAACGAAGCCACCAUAUCUGAGCUACAAACAGUUUGUCAACGCUCUCUUGAAUCAUGAACAAACCGUGAUUGUACAGCAAGAUGAAGAGUCAAGUCAAUCACAGUCAAGGGGGCAUGGCAGGCAGAAUACACGAGGCAGACGACCUUCUAAAAAUUGUGGACACAGAGGCAAUGCAAACUAUCAUAACCAAAAACCACACAAUAAUGGCCAUUACGGUGACUGAAGCAAUGGAAACUACCAGAACCAACAGCCGUACAAUAAUGGCCAAAAUUCACGAGACCCACCGAAAAAGAAUAAUCAAGAAUAUGCAGUUUUUUGUCAAAUACGUGCAAAGAGAGGCCAGAAUGCAGCAGUCUGUAGAAACGGGUAUGACCAAUAUUAUGCUAAGAAGGAAGCACCACAUGAAUGCCUUAGCUGCAAUGAACAUCAACGUAAAUGAAGUUCCUCAGUUCUAAGCAGAUUCUGGUGCUACCACUCACAUUACAAAUGAUCCAGGUAAUCUUGAUUGUAUUAGAACUUAUAAAAGUUAUAAAGGACGUGAUCAAAUAUUUGUGGGGAAUGGUAACAGUUUGCAUAUCACUUAUACUGGUAAUAUCUUGUCUUAAAACAAGUCACAGUAACUUGAGUCUAAAUAAAGUCCUAUUUGUUCCUUGCUUAAAAAAGAAUCUCAUAUUAUUAACUAGCUUAUCGAUGAUUUAAAUUUUUUUUUACUGAAAGUGGGUUUUUUUGUUAAGAGCAAGGAGGACAGGAUCUUGGCAAAAGGACACAGAUGCGGCAAGAUGUAUGCCUUCGACGAAAAUCAAGGAAUGGCACUUAAUGCAAUGAAAGGCAACGCUCAAGACUUCAUUCUCUGGCAUAAGAGACAUGGACAUGCAAGCUCUAGGGCACUGGAAACUUUGAAGGAAAAUAAGGCCAUUAGUCUUUCUACUUGGAUUCAGAAGCCAAGUUUAUGUGUUUCAAUUUCAAUCAUAUUUGCUUGGUUCUAAAACUGUUGUUUUUACUGAUCACGCUGUUGUGAGAUAUUUGAUAACUAAAUAUGAUGUCAAACCAAGACUAAUUCGUUGGAUUUUGUUACUUCAAGAAUUUGACCUCACCAUCAAAGAUAAAAAGGGUGCCGAAAAUGUUGUUACUAAUCAUUUAUCAAGACUCACAUCUGAAAUCUGCACUGAUAUAACACCCAUCAAUGAUUCCUUUCCUGAUGAAUUUUUAUUAUAUGUUACUUCAAUACCAUGGUAUGCUAACAUUGUUAAUUUCCUUGUUACAGGUAAACUACCUUCGCACUGGAAUACUCAGGAAACGAAGAAAUUUUUUGUUGAAGUAAAGAAAUUUUAUUGGGAUGAUCCUUACUUGUUCAAAUAUUACCCUGAUCAGAUUUUUCGACGAUGCAUUCCUGAUAAUGAGGUAAGUAGUGUUAUUAAUUUUUGUCAUUCUGAAGCAUGUGGUGAACACUUUUCUUCAAGAAAAACUACGACUAAAAUUUUGUAAUGUGAAUUUUAUUGGCCUAGUAUCUUCAAAUACACAUAUGAAUUUUGCAAAACUUGUGAAAAAUGUCAAAAAAUAGGAUCAAUUACUAAAAGAAAUAUGAUGCCCUUAAAUCCUAUACUUGAAAUUGAAAUAUUUGACUGUUGGGGAAUUGAUUUCAUGGGUCCAUUUCCACCAUCUUUUGGAUUUGUGUACAUAUUAGUUGCAAUUGAUUAUGUUUCAAAAUGGAUUGAAGCAAUGUCUUGUCGAAAUAAUGAUAGUAAAAUUGUCGUUAAAUUUUUAAGAGAAAACAUUCUAAGUCAAUUUGGAAUCCCUUGAAACUAUUAUUAGUGAUGGAGGUAGGCAUUUUUGUAAUAAGUCAUUUGAGUCUUUAAUGAAAAAAUAUGGAAUUACACAUAAAAUUGCUACUCCUUAUCAUCCUCAAACAAAUGGUCAAGUUGAAUUAACAAAUAAGGAGAUAAAACAAAUUAAAAAAAACAGUUAACUCAAACCGAAAAGAUUGGUCUCUUCGACUAACUGAUGCACUUUGGGCAUACCGUACUGCAUUUAAAACGUCUUUAGGAAUGUCACCCUAUCGGCUAGUUUAUGGUAAACCUUGUCACUUACCUGUUGAACUUGAACAUAAAUCAUUUUAGGCUAUUAAAGCUUUUAAUUCAUAUUUGGAUGAUGCUGGUAAUGUACGAAAACUACAAUUGAAUGAACUUGAAGAAUUAAGAAAUGAUGCAUAUGAAAAUUUAAGAAUUGUUAAGGCAAGAACAAAAAUUUUUCGAAAAACAUUUGAAAUUGGUUAAAAAGUGUUGCUUUAUAAUUCUCAUCUUUAUUUGUUUUCAGGAAAGUUAAAGUCAAAGUGGAGUGGCCCAAUUAUUGAAAAAAAUGUAUAUUCACAUGGGGCUGUAGAAAUUGAGAAUCCAAAAAACAUUGUCAUAUUUAAAGUUAAUGGUCAAAAAAUAAAGCUCUAUCUGGAAUACCAACCACGUAAAGCAAGCACCGAAAUGAAUUUGAUUGACCCACCAAAUCUUGAUUAAGUUUUUAAUGAAUGUUUUAACUUUUCACUGUUGUUUUACCAUUUGAAUUAUUUGAAUGUUUUGAAUGAUACGCGUUGUGAUGUUUCUUGCUUAAGUAUGUUUAAUCAUUGUGUUUUCUUAAUCAUUCUACAUCAUGAGCACCUCAAUAAGGAAUAUUUUGUUCACACAUUUUAAAAGACUUUUACGAAUAAGAUUUCACUUGAGAAGAUUGAUACAAAUUAGUGGCCUACGUUGAGAAUCAAGAAAGACAACUCAGAGCAAUAGAGCGUGGUAUAUAUGAAUUUCAAUUGGAGUUUGAGGUUAACUCAAUGAGAGAACGAAUGUAAGUUCAUUUUCCUUUGUACAUAUUGUGCUUAUUUUUUGUUGUUCGCUUUCACAUUUGAUUUGAUUUUGCAAAUUUGAUUUUGGUGUGUUUUGAUUUAUUUUCCCGUAUAAAUGGCGGAUAACGGUACUCCGUGACUUCUUAAGUCGGUAUUCUUAGUUUCCCACAAUAACUGAAAUCUCAAAAUCAAGCAUGGAAGAAAUACAACAUAAAUUGCAUAAGUGUUUUCCUUCUCUCCCUCAAAAUGCACUAAAUUUUUUUUACAAAGUUCGUUGUGAAAGAUUGCAUUUGUUAAUGAUCAACGGAAUUCCUUCUGAUAUUCGUUGGUUAAUUGAAGCAAAUGUCCGAUUAGCUGGUGAGUUUCCUGAUCCAUUUAUUUCUUACAUGUCUGGUUUUGGUAAAAGCACAUUUGCUAAAAAACGGAGAGCUAGAAGACUUGGCUCAGAAUGUCAUAAUUGUGUAGGACUUACUUGCAAACUAGAAGUUUGUAAAUCUUUAGGAAUGGUUUCUGAUAGUCAAGAAGAUAAAAUUAAAUUCGUCAAAGAUGGCAUGAGUAAAGAAUCGUUGGAUGAUAUCUUACGAUCUCUUGAGACGCAUCGAAGUGGACAUGUGCAAUAUGAGAUACACAGGUUAUGGAGACUAUUUCAAAAAGAAAAUGCACAAUUCAGUGUUAGGAAUCUGACUCAAACAGACCAUGUUUGCCAGUUUAUAAGAAAACUGGAUGGGAAGUCUAUCAUCGACCCAUAGAGGGCGUUCAAGCCGUUACUAGACGUAAAACUAGAUAAAGAUAUGAGCCACAAUCACAACUACCAAUUAUUUUAAUGGCAAUAUUUUCGAGUAGACAAUUCAAAAAUAUUUGUGUGCUCUCUAGAUUUCAUUAUGAAAAAUACAAAGAGUUUGUUCAAGCAGCUGUAGAUCUUGGUCGUGCCAUAGCUGAGAGGAAAUUGCACCUUGUAUAUGGAGGAGGUGACCGCGGGUUAUCAAAGCUUGUCUCAAAAGCUGUUUUAUUAGAGGAAACCAGGUACUAGGUAUCAUUCCACAAGCCUUAAAACUUCUAGGAUGCAUGUCUGAUAUGCCAAUUGGAGAAGAAUUAGUUGUCUCAAGUAUGCAAGAGCGAAUAUCUCAUAUGUUAAAUCAUGCUAACGCUUUCAUUUUCUUGACAGGAGAUCUUGCAACUUUAAAGGCAUUGAUUACAUUUGCAUUUUGGGCCCAUUUAAACAUCCAUAAAAAACCCAUCGGUUUACUAAAUGUUGAUAAUUUUUUUGAUGGGUUGCUCACAUUCAUUAACCAUGCAAUUAAGAAUCAUUUUAUUCCAAUCUCUGCGAAAAAUCUCUUUGUUUGUGCUUCUACUACUAAUAAGUUAUUUAAUCUUUUACAAGCUUACAAACCAGAGCUAGAUCCUAAGACCCUGGCCUUGGAAUGGUUGACUAAUGAUGGUAACCCUAGCCCUAGUAAGAAGUACAAAUUGGAUUUAACUCUUCGGUUGUAACUAUCUUCUUGGAGUUAUGAGGUUAUGUCUUCUAAACUCUACUUCUUUCCUUUAAGCCAUUUAGGACAAUGUCUUGUUCAGGUUGGGGGGAGAGAAUAGUUGACAGAUGUGGAAUAUAGCAAAUCCUAGUAAUGUUUUUGUCGAAGAUGGCAGAAUAUGGGGUGUAGUGACUCUAGAAACGCAUCUUUAGCGGUUUGUUCAAGUUUGAUCUUUUCUAUUUCUUCUUUUAUUGUUUUCUUUAUCUUUUUAAUCUUUCUGCAUGUAUAUUUUUAAAUUAUGAAUAAUGUUUAAAUUAAGUUGGGGGAAAGGGAUAAUUGACAUAAAUUGUAAAUAUGUGUGUUUAAUUUAAAAAAAAUAGAAACAUCAAUUUUUUUUGUGUCUAGGAUGACUGUGUAAAGAGUCACAACUUUUGAGAUGCAUCUUAAUAGUCCUGUUAUAUUAUAUUUUGAUUUUAAAAUUCAUAAUAAGUUGUUUUUGUUCCCUUUUCUUUAAAUUACUCAAAUUUGUGAACUCUCUAUUUGGUUAUUAAAUUAUUUUGUUGUUUACUCAUUUAGCAGGUAUUAUUAAAUCAUUCUUCACACACACACUAUGACACAUACUAGUGGGUUGGAAGUUAAAAUUUUGGCAGCAUUUAGUUUUUUUGAUUUAUUAGGAAUAAUAUCUAAGGUGGUAGAAAGUGUAUAUUGCCAAAACCAAAAAAAAAUUAAAUGAUUUUAAUUUUGUUAUAUCUAGAACCCGAGUUAUUAAGUGCAUAGGGGUGUUUCAACACCUAAUGCCCUAAAGUCAACUGGUCUGGGAGUCACUGACCUAAAGCUCGCUUCAUAGAUUAUAGAUAUAUUGUUUGCUUAUUUAUUAAAAAUCCGAGUAAUUAAGUACGUAGGGGUGUUUCAACACCUAGUGCCCUAAGAUCAACUGGUCUGGGAGUCACUAUCCUAAAGCUCGCUACAUGGGUUAAAAAUGCAAUAUUUUUGUAAAAAAAAAAAAGCUAGAAUAAGCCUGAAGAUAGAAUUUCUAAUGAGUUUUAGAACGAAAAUGUUGUUUUCUUUUAAUGAAGCCCCAUAAGUAUUGUGUUAAUUACUUGAGCACAAAAGAAGGUUUAUGAUAUUCUGGCUAAUAAGUAAACGACCAAGAGUUAGAAAAAUUUGGGAGAGUUUAUUUAUUUGGUAGUUUAGAGGAUAAAUGAACAACUAUUAACUUGCAUGUGAAUUUUGUAAAUCUUAAAUUAAUAUAACGCUUUAAUUGCUAGGGGCUAGUAAUAAGCCAGUUGGGGGGUGUGAUUAGUGUUAAAAAUUAUAUGUUUAUUAAGGGAUAAAAAUAUUAUUUUGUGCUAUUAAUGUAAUUUAUAUUUGUAAUUGUCUAACUAAUUGUGAAUUUCUAAUUAUUUUUCUAAAUAUUUGAUUUUGUGUAUUUUUGUGUGUUUAUUAGGUAAAAAUAAUAAUUUUAUGCAAUUUGAGGCUCCGAAUAAAUAUAUGGAUGUCAAAUUUAGAUUCCAAAAGUUCGAGAAAUUAUGUCAUUGUCGAGGAGGAUCCAAGACUUUCGUUGUAAAUUUUUACGUUUUUACCAUGGUAAAUGUGGUAAUUGUAAAAUUACAAGUUUUUAUCAUGUUAGGUAUGGUAAUUAUUAGUGGAAUGUGCUGGAUAUGCUUGAGUGGAUAAGUUAGGUUUAUAUUUUAUUAGUGGGACAAAUGUAAGGUUAAGAUGUAAUUAAAUUUUUUUAUUUGUGUGGUGUGGAUUUACCAUGUAUUAGUAUAAAUAGAGAGGGGGUGAACCCACCUCUACACACAUUCUCUUCUCUUCUUUCCCCUCAAAUUCUUCUUCUCAUCUCUCUUUGUAAUAUAUUUUCAAUCAAUAAAAUUCGUUUUAUUUCAAUUUUCAAAUUCCAUUUUUUAAUUAUGUAUUUUUCAAUUUUAAUAAUUUCCUUUAUUUCAAAAAUGUUUAGCUAAAUAUUCAUAGUUAUGGGAAGGUGAAACUCUUAGUAAAAAAUAUGGUUUAAUCAAAUUCUAUUUUUAAUUUUAUAAAUUAAAUUAUUUUCUAUUUAAUUUUAUCCAUAUUUUAUAUUUUGAAAUUUUCAUUUAGUGUAGACAAAAAUAGAAAAUUGGCACAAUGAAUUCUUAAUAUCUUAGUAUAGAAUACGGAAAAAUGGUAUUUUGAUUUAGUGUAGACAAAUUAAGUUUUGGCACAUUAAAUUCUUAAUCCACAAUAAAAUAAAUGGGAAAAUAAUUUUAAUUUAUACAAUUAAUCUUUUGGGAAAUAAAAUAAAAAUAAAAAGAAUUUGUUAAAUUGUAUUUAUUACUAAGAGUGGAUCCAUAACCCUAACUAAUUCAAUUUUAUACUUUUUCUUAAAUAAAUUACAUAUUUAUAAAUUUUAUUUUUAUUUGGAUAAACAUAAGUGAACAAAUUAAAUCAUUUUUCUGUGGAUCGACCUUGAACUCACCGAGAUAUAUUAUAACUAUGCACUCUUAUACUUAGGAGAAAAUCAAACACUUUUAAGUUGUGUCAUCCAGCCGACUUUUUACCAUCAAUAUCAAUGCACAUUAGCUAGCAAAUUCACAUGCAAAACAUUAGAGUUGUGAACAUGCAGAGUAGUAAUAGAAAUCAGUGCAUUUUCUUACUAUUUUACCUAAACUUUUAUGGUGCGGUUAUUAAACUAGCAUCAGAAUGAACUGCAACCGAAAUGGGCAGGAAUGAGAAUAGGCUGAGAAUAGGGAAUGAGAAUUAGAAUAAAUGGUUUAAUUGAAUUAUAGGAAUCAAAAUCGAAAUGAGCUUGAUUGUCAUUAAUGUAUUUCCUUUGUUUUGGAAUCAGAAUCAGAACGAAUUAAAUUGUAACGAAUUACUAAAUGUACUUAAUGAAUUAUUGUCAUAGUGAUUAUUUUUUAUAUUUUAAUUAUAGUAUUUUUUAUUCAAAAACUAUAAUAUUAAUAUACUAUUGUUAAUAAUAUAUUAAUAUAUUAAUUAAUAGUAAUAAUUAUAUUAAUUAAUUAAUUAAUAAUAUAUGAAUUAAUAAUAAUAUUAUUAAUUAUUAUAAUGGUAUAUUCAUUAAUUGAUAAUAAUAAUAAUAUAUUAAUUAUUGUGAUUAUUUAUUCAAAAACUAUAAUUAUUAAUAAUUAUUUUUAAUAAUAUAUUAAUUAAUUAUAAAUAAGGACAACGUGGGUAUUUUUAAUUUUGGGGUAGGGUAAAAUGGUCAAUUUUGGGAAUGAGAGACUCAUUCCCACCCUCUCCCUUGAGAAUGAGUCACAACAUACUUUUGAGACUUGAAUCAUCAUUAUAUUCAGAACUUGAACUUAUGCCCUCGAUAUUAAAUCAUAUCAUUUUAUGUUAAUUUAGGGAGGACAAAAAGGAUAGAAACAUAAAAAUUAAAUUUCAUAUUAAAUAAAACAGUCACAAAUACUUUUGAGACUUGAAUCAAUUGUACGUAUCUUGGAAAUAUAUCAUUCUACGGUGGUUUAGUGGGGUAAAAAAAAGAAAUGAAUAUAUAUGAAUACACAGCUUAAAAACAAAUCUCAAUUUAAAAAAAAAAAUUGUUUGAGAUGCAAAAUUGACUUGAAUUGGACCAAACUAUUAGUAUAAUUAUUCUCACAAAGAGCGGGACUAUUAACACUCCUAUAAUUUUUUUUAAAAUUAAUUUUCUAUUGAGAGCGAUUUUAGUUCCAAAAAUAUCCUUUUUUAGUUUUUUAGUUUCUUCCUUUCAACUCCAAAUCUUCAAAUAAGAUUUUCUUGUACUAAAUUUUGAAUGAUUAAAUCAUAUAUGUUUAACUUAAAAAAGAUGCAUCAAUACUUUGUUAAAGUGAUAAUGCCAUUAAAAAAUAAAAAACACAUAUUUCAAUACAUUAACAAACAAAAAACACAGUUUUUAAUAUACAGAAAUCUUUUUUUUUUUUUGUAUUUUAGUGAUGUCCUUAUUUUAUCAAGUGAUGAUAUCCUCACUAGAGAAAGACUGCAUAUCUCUAUUGCGGGCGCCUUCAUUCUUUUUUAUGCAGACACGCUUUUAAGCUGUGCGAUUUAAUAGAGUUAGGUUUUAAUACUUUCAAAUUGUAUGGCUUUAUAGUGUAUUAAAAUACAACUUUAUUAAUCCGCUCAGCUUAAUAGCUCCUCUGCAUUAAAAAAAAAAAUGAGAGCGCUCGCAUAUGAAAAUGAUUAUAUAUAUUAAGUGGACUCGAAUAGUUAAUCGGUAACUUCUUUUCUUUUCUUUUUUUGAAAAAAGAAGUUGAUAUGCAAGAAAAUAUUAAAAAAAAUUAUUCUUUGAAGUUUUAUACAAACAAUUGAAAAUAGUUGAGGAGACCGCUAAGAGUAAGAAUAUAUUAAUAGAAUCACAUUGAUUAGAAUGUCAAGUGUUUGUGAGAGAAAAUAUAGAAAAUUAAUUAGAUUUAUUUUUUCCUUUAGGACUCAUUUGAUAUGCCGGAUUGAUUGGAUUGAACUGAAUAAGAUAGGAUUGGAUAAGCUAACACUGAAUUAUAUAUAAUACUAUGUUGUGCUUGGUGCAGUAUUUGAUUGGACUAUAAAUAAUCAUGUCUUGUGUUUGAUAUGCUAUGGGAUUGGCUAGUAACUAAUCAUGUCUUGUAUAUUAAUUUAUCAAAAUUAUCUUAAAUUUAUUCUAAAAUGGCAUGGAAUAUAAUAUAGCUUAAAUCAAUAAUUAUUGGUAAAUUUAUCAAAAAAAUACAAAAUUUUCCCUUAAUUUUUUUUUGUAUUUAACAUGUUAUAAUUUUUAAACUUAUAUUUUACAAAAUAAUAUCAUCAUAAACAUAACAAGGAUAUCAUCAUCAAAUAUAAUAAGAAUAUCAGUCCACAACUAUAAAAAAAAAAAUUGGGAUUUUUUUUCUUAUCCUGUGAAUUGUGAUAGAUUAAAUUUAGCUUACCUAUUAUUAUCUCACACCCCCUUUUAUAAUAAAAUUUUGAUACUGUGUUGGAUUAAAUGGUGAGCUCCACUAAUUUUAUCCUGCAAUUACUUUUGUAUACCAAACACUGCAUUAAGAUAAUUUUAGGAUAAAAUUAUCCAAUUCCAUCAUUUUAUACCCCAGUGAAAUCAGCCCUUAAUAUGAUUGUAAUGGGCGAAGGGUUUUACGAGAAUUAUAAAGGAGUGCUAAUAGUCUCAUUCCUUCGCUAAUAUCGCAGUCCAUUAUAUAUCGCAUGACCUCAAUUCUGUAAUUUUUCUCAACAAAUAAAUAGAUCUGGUGCUUCACAUACUUCAAGUGAGUAGUAUGCAUAGAAAAAUUUAGCUAUAAAUAUGAAACAAAAAGAAAAUAAAGAGCAAUAUGUCAAUAUUUGCUUUGCAAUGAAAGUAAAAUCAUGAAAGUUGAUCUAUAUGCAAAUGAGCAUAAAUAUUGGACUUCGAGGUUUAAAGUUUUAGCCCAAGAAUCCAAAAAGAGAAAGAACCCAAACUUUGUGGCCCGAGUUUAAAAUAAUUUCAGAGUCCAGCGUCUAAAAGAUAAAAUCUGAAAUUGAUAAUCUAGAAGCAGAACAUAUUCAUUGCGAAAAUGAAUGCGUAUGCUGCGGUACUUUUAAUUUUUUUUUUUCAAAUUCUUUCAUUUUAAUAAAAUAAGUACGAAGUAUCAAGCCAAAAGACGAUAAUGCAAGCAAAUACGGUCUAAUGCAAGCCGCGAAAUGGACCAAAGGAAUGGGGAGUUAUUUUACUUGAAAAAAAAAAAUCACCUAAAUGUUAUGCAGCCCAACAACAGAGGCCGAAAUCACAGACCCUAAGCCAUUCUUUCAUUUUAGGCCAGAGUUGUUAUGUUCAAGCCCAACUCUAAAACGCAGCAAUGGGGACAGUUGCGACGAAAGAAGGGUCUAUAAUGACCCACAAAAUAAAGAGUAAUGAUAUUUGAACCCGCUGCUUGUAUCAUUGGCUCCCUUUUCUCAUUAAUUCCUUUUAUUUUCCAAAUUACCUUAAUGCACAAACACAAUCAUCUCAGAUAAUAAAAUGUGGCAAUGGAUUAACUCAUGAUAACUUCAAUUUUGAACAUCUUCGAAAUAGCAAAAUAGCCUUUGAUCAAGAACCUGCUGACCAUGAGAAAUCUUAAGGGAGAAGCAGGAUCGAUAAGCCAGCACUGCAAUGGAUUGCUUCUAUUUCCAGAUGCAGACGAUCUCUUAAAUUUGUAUAGUCCAGGAUUACUUAAAUGUCAAAAGCAUGCAGAUGGAAGUGUCCUUUAAGUGUGUACUGCCCGCGGGAACACACAAAAAGUGACCGAAGAGAGACACUAAGAGAUUUCGUAUCCGUAAUAGUGCGAAAGGAAGGCCCGACUCCAACUCUAAGUUGUUCAAGAAUAGUGACGUUGAGUUUCUCGACCCUUCUUUAAGAUGCUUUCGCAUCAAAAUCUAUCAUUGAAAGAAGCAAAUGCGAUUUCAUGGGUUGUCCCUAGGAGCAAACAUCCUAGGGAAAAUAACUAUUUUGACUAUUUUGAUUAUCCAAUUGAUCUAACUUGGCAAAAUAACUAUUUUCUAUUGUUUCUCGAUAUUCCAUCUCUCAAUCAAUAUGAUUUUCAAUUUCUGAAAAUUGAGAAAAAAAUGAAUUGCAAUUUAUUUAAUUGAAAUUUACCAGUGAGAAGAAGCCCACGGCUCCUACACACAGGAAAUCCAAGCAAUCCAAUAUCUUCUCAUAUCCUCUCUAGUCUCUACAUUAUGAUUGUCGACUUAAUUAAUUAUUCCUAUUACUUUCUUUUACAAAUUUUAUGAUCUUGGAGACAUUGACAGCUCUGCUAGGGAAGAGCGGUUCAUGCCCAUAUGAAUGUCAAUUGGUCGGGUCAGGGCCAAGCCUGAGCCCGAUCCGAUUACUAAAAUUGAGGGCCUGAUUCGAAAAAAAGUUUGAUUAUUUGUAUUUCAAGUUGGGUUGGGUCCGACUCAAUUCGGGUUAGGAUUGGGUCGGGUUUUUUUAAAAGUCCGCACAAUGCUUCACCUUAAAUAUUUUGCUUUUUUUUUGUCCGAUUUUACUUUGCUUUGUUUGUCCAUGAUGUAAAACAAAAUUGCUUUAUUCUAAAAUCAUUGUGUCCAUAAUUUUCAUAAAAAAAAAAAUGUCUUAUACAAAUAGAAACACACAAUAAUUUUUCUUAUUUACAUUGCACCUAAAAUUAUUCUUUUAUAUUUGCGUGCAUGUAUAUAUAUCCUCCAUAAAAUUAAAAAUUCAUAUUUUUUCAUAUUUUUUUCAAUUUAGGGUCGGAUUGGCUAAGGCCCGACCCUGACCCAAAUUUUGAUCAAACCUUAAUUUUUUAGCUUGAGCCUGACCUAAAACUUGAAAUUUUGAGUCAAAACCCUAAAAAUAUUGGUCGAGUCAAUCAUAUCAAAAUUCGAACGGGAUCAAAUUACCAUCCUAUUAAAAAGUGAGGGUUAUAAAUAGAGCGGUUCAAAUAUCAUUACUCUAAAAUAAAUAUAAUUUAUUUUGUCAUUUAUCCGUUGAAAGUCACCGGAAAAACUGAAAAAGUUAUUCCUGAAUGUUGGAUAUAUGAUAUAUCCGGAUCGAAAAGGCACGUAACAAAGCUUGUGUCCUUGAAAUUGGUACCUACACCUAAAAGACAGAAAAGAAAUAAAAUAUUAUAUAAAGUGUAAUAGUUGGAGGCCAACUAUUGGCCUAUUAAGAUUAAAGAAUCCUCAUGUUAGAUUUUUUUGAAUUAUUUUAUUUAGGUCGGUGAUGCCAAAUUCGCUAUUGGCUGUCUUGGAUUUCCCUCACCUCCAGUUCUUCUAUAUAAACCCUUGACUAGUUCUUCAUCUUCAUCACAAACUCAAAAACUCAUAUUGAACAUCUCUCUUUUCUCUAAUUAAGCAAUAGAUAUUUAACAUGGGUGUCAUUCGCGUUGAGAAAGAGGUGCCAUCGGCUGUUGCACCAUCAAGAUUGUUCAAGGCUUUAAAUGACACUCACAAUUUUUUGCCAAAGAUCGCGCCUCAAACAAUUAAGAGCAUCGAUAUUCUUCAAGGAGAUGGAGGUGCUGGCACUAUCAAGCUGUUGAACUUUGCUGAUGGUAAGUAGAUAGUAUACAUAGCUUUAUUAAUUGCUACAUGCAUCAUACAUGUUUUAUUUAAUUUUCAAAUCCAAAAUAUCACAAAAUUAAUUAUAAAUGUAACUAAGAAAAGGCAAUUAAAAAAGAUUGAACUAAUAUUGCGAUUAACAGGUGGUAAUUACAAGCAGACGAAGCAAAGAAUUGAUGCACUUGACGAGGACAAUUUGACAAUGAAGUACACUACGUAUGAAGGAGAUGGGAUUUUGAAAAUGACGGACAAAAGCGUGUACGAUGUUAAGAUCAUGGAUUCUGGCAAUGGAGGAAGCAUCUGCAAGUUUGUUGCGGAGGUCCAUGCAAAUGACGAUAAACUGGUCAACGAAGGGCACGCAAAGGAAUCCGAAGAAAAAGGAUCGGAAUUGUUCAAGCUCGUGGAAGCCUAUCUCUUGGGUAAUCCUAAUCUCUAUGCUUAAAUCAAUCAUCCAUAUGCAUUGGCUUUGCCAAUUGCGAAAUUUCCAGCUAGCUAACUAAAUAAGGCUGGUGCCAUUGUACGUAAUUAAGCUUUUGAAGCUGAAUGUAAAUACACGCGUAUGUACUUAGUGUGUUCGUUAAAUAAAUGUCCAAUCUGCUGGACAUAUGUGAGAUAAAUAUAGAUCAUGUGUGGUCAGUUAUGCAUACAUGUUUGCAGUUUCAAUUUCUAAACUUUACUGUUUCUACCUAUUUAUUGAAGCAUAUAUAUAUACUAUAUCUACUGGGGAUCUGUGAGGUUGGUUAUAGUAAGGCCUGGCCGGAAAGUGUUCUUGCCUCUAUCAUUAGCACGGUAGUCCCCCAAUAUGCCCGUUCGCUUCAAUAAGCUUAAUAAGUCUAAAUCCAUACAAUUAAUAAUAUAUUAUAGCACAGCGUGGGGGUGGGGCUGUACCAAGUAUAAAUAAAUCGGUAAUAUGUUCCAACAAGGAUUUAAUGAUUUGAAGAUGUUCAUUCACGCACGCUUGUUGCAUCUUUCUUCGCCAAGGUGACGCCAGCUCUCUCUCUUUAUUUUGAAAAGAAAGUAAAUCUUUCAUUAUCAAGGCGCAAAACAGUCACUAAUACAGUGUCAUAAGAAGGGGAGAUAUAAUGUCAGAACAGGCUCAAAAUAUAAUACUUACGAGGACCUAAAAUUUGACCAUGCUCAUUGUAAAUUGUUCCUUUAUACUCCAAAGGAAAAGCAGUUUACCACAUAAAGUCUCAUAAGGUAUUGGAGAAACUUUUAGGGGUUUGGCUAUCCAACUUAGAUUCAUAAAGUGAACCGCAAUCAAAACGGACCUUAAAAAAAGAAGCACAACAACAGAACGUUACAACCCACAAAGUUAUUGGAUUUGAGCUGCACCAAAAGACAUUAUUAUAACAACAAAAAACUUAAAAAGAAAAAAAAAAAAACGAGACCGACGUUUAUUAUGAAGACAAGGUACACUGCAUGCAAUGAGCUAAGAUAGACUUGGAAGCAUUGAUAUAUACCGUAGGAUUAUCAUUUUAGUCAACUUAGCUGCUUUGUUCACCAUAAUUUGAGCUUCAAUAUAAGACUCGUUGUAUUUUAUAAAGCGUACUUUUUUAAUAUUUUAAUAUUAAAAUUUCUCAUAUUGUUGAGUAACACUCGAUUUGUAAAUAAACAAGAAGGUUAUAUAUAUGGUUUGAUAAAAUUAAGAAAAAAAAACCACUUGCACAUCUCUCAGAAGCCCUAGCCGUUUCAACGAACGAAGCCAAACACCAAAAAAAUAUCAUCACACCAUCUUCAUCUUCUUCCAACUACACCAAUAAGAAGGAACAACAUCCCCUAGUCAUUUUAGCUCUCAUCUCAAAUCAGGAAUUCUCAGUAUCUUCCAUCUGACAAAUUAAUUAUCAAAGGGAAUAAAUAUUGAUUUGGGACAGCCACCAAAGGGAAUCAAUACUAAUGAGAAUCUUAUAUGAUUUAGGAUGGUUGUUUGGAAUGAGUAGGUACAUUCCGGAUGUCAUAACUUAGACAACAAGUAUCUGUUUAGGGUGUAUAAUAUAUUGUUUCGAAGCUUGCGAUGAGAUGAACCAAUUUUAAAAUUGCUUGCACUGUUCUGCCCCAUAGUCCAACUGGAAAUUCUAUUUUUUUCCUAGUCAUUUUUUACUUCUAAGUUAUUUUCCUAUUUUUCUUGGUUCUUUUAAAAAUUUUAUCUUUUUUUUUCUAGAUAUCAAAUUCUGGUGCCGUUUGUUUUGCUUUUAUUAGUUCAAUUAGGAGAAUUUUAUUACGAAAUAAAAUUUCAAAUUUGCUAAUUUUGGUAAAUGUUAUUAUAAAAGAGGCCUAAAAUCCUACUUUUUUCAUUCAGAUUUACUAUCAAUCAACCUUUUAAUGUUUCGGCAUCGUCAUUAUAUCAUUUCCACUCAUGUAGGAUUAACAAGGAAGACGAUGGGGUUCCCUUUGGUGCAUGGCUGUCCCGAACAGAAGCCACAAAAACAAUGAUCAAUGUUGUUUUCUUGUGAUAUAAAAGUCAUGAAGCCAUGUAAAGUAGUUUCUAGGUUAUGUUACCCACCGCCAUGUGCAAUCUUUAUUUUUCUUUAUUAUUUGUGAUCGGAUAAAGAAGCAUGUAGCUAGAAAAUAUUAACAGACAACAAUAUGACCAAUGUGUAACCUUUAUCACAACCUUGUUGGCUGUUGCGGUUUAAGAGUAUGUAAAGACAACAACAUUUACACUUUGCACGUUGUCUUUUUGUUUCCUCACCGCCAUGUGCGAUCUUUAUUUUUCUUAAUUAUUUGCGAUCUGAUGAAGAAGCAAGUAGCUAGAAAAUAUUAACAGCCAACAAGUGACCACUGUGUAACGCUUUACCACAACCUUGCUGGCUGUUGCUGUUUAAGAUUACGUAAAGACAACACCAUCUAAACUUUGCACGCUGUCUUUAGUUAUUCAUGAUAACAACAUUCCACUGCCUAUGUUGCAGAAAUAGAUAUGUUAUUGACAAAGUCCAUGUGUUGCACGUUGUUAAGUGACUACUGUGUAACACUUUACCACAACCUUGCUGGCUUUGCUGUUGAAGAGUAUGUAAAGACAACAUCUAAAAUUGUUAUUCAUGAUAACAACAUUCAACUGCCUAUGUUGCUGAAGUAGAUAUGUUACUGACAAAGUCCAUGUGUUGCACGUUGUUAAGUGACUACUGUGUAACACUUUACCACAACCUUGCUGGCUUUGCUGUUGAAGAGUAUGUAAAGACAACAUCUAAACUUGUUAUUCAUGAUAACAACAUUCCACUGCCUAUGUUGCUGAAGUAGAUAUGUUACUGACAACGUCCAUGUGUUGCACGUUGUUAAGUGAUCACUGUGCAACGCUUUAUCACAACCUUGCUGGCUGUUACUGUUUAAGAGGAUGUGAAGACAACACCAUCUAGACUUUGCACCUUGUCUUUAGUUAUUAAUGAUGACAACAUUCAAAUGCAUAUGUUGCAGAAAUAGUUAUGUAAAUGACAACGUCCAUGUGUUGCACGUUGCACUACAACAAACAAUAGCAUUACCGUCCAGAUAUUUCCGAGGGCUUCAUUUACCCUCGGUAAUAAGUGCAUUUUACGAAGGCUAAGAAGAGCCGUCCGAUAUGCAUUAAAAAAUUCAUUAAUUUUUUCAAAGACAAAUUACCUUCGCUGAUAAAGAAUAAAGUGGUCGGUAAAUAGAUAACUAAUACUGAAAGUACAUUUUUGUUGUAAAGUAUAUUUUUGUUGUAAAGUUCAAAACAAGAUAAAGGCCUUUAGUGCAUGGGCUUUGCCUAAUUAAAAGUGAGAACAUAAUUUUAGUGACUAAUUAAAUUCUAAAUUGAACUUUUAAUAGGGUCUUGCUUUUGCUAGCUUAAAAAAUUAGAUAAAAACACAUAUAUUUCCACCAAUUAAAAAUAACUCAUUUAUGUCGAAGCUCGAUCUCUCUAGGAUGAACCAUUUCGGAAACAUUGAUGAAAAGGAAAAAAAAAUAUUAAUUUACUAUAUUCUAAGAUAAUCUUUUUUCAUAUCUUAUAUUUUCUUUUCGUUUUUCCUUCUUUCAAAAGUAAUUCCUUUAAAUUAAAGCCAUAUUUUAGCUAAAAGAUACAGAUAUUCAUUCCAAAAUUUUAAAAGCACAAUAAACUGACAAGCAAGAAUCUAGUCUAACCACGUCAUUGAUGGAUAAAUUCUACUUAAUUUAGACCUUAAGAGUGUGGGACAUGCCGAAUUUUAAACUUCAGCCGUAGAUCAGCUAUCUGUACCAAGCGCUAGUAUUGGCCGCCUCACACUCAUGCGCCCACUUGAUCUAUAUAUAUCAAACCAGAAAUAAGAACUCGCUCAAGCUUGCUCGAGCUCAACUACUCACUUUUGAUUACAGUUCUCCAGAAGCAAGCAGAGAUCGUUUCUGAUUUGACGAAUAUGGAAACUCCUUGCACAGGUUUAUUUUUCGGCCACGUUAAGUUGAAUAUCAUUUAUAAUUCUUAUUUUAUAAUACAUCCAUUUGUGAAUAAUUUUUCUGUUAUGAAAUUUUCAGGUAAGAAUGAAUGGUCGGAGUGUUUAGUACUUUUUAUAAUAUUUAGUAUUGCUGAUGACGAGAAAAUGAACGACAAUAAUCUUGAUCUUCUUGUUGUUCCUCAAUACGGGAGAUAUCCCGACUAUGCUGGUUAAGUGUUGUAGUGUUACACUUUUGUGUUAUGUGUAAUUAAAUAAAAGCAUGGAUAAUGUUAUUUAUUAUCUGUCAAUAAUGGGAACAUCAGUUUGCACCCUUGUACUUCGUUGUCUUUAAUUAAUAAAUAAAACUAUUGUAUUUCUAUGAGUUGAUUAAGUUAUUCCGUCUAUAGAUAUAAUAUUUUAUAUACAUACAUACAUACAUACAUACAUACAUACAUACAUACAUACAUAUAUAUAUAUAUAUAUAUAUUUGAUUAAUUAUGCUCUCUUCCUUCUUGAAUGUUUUUGUUAAUCAAACUCUACAUAUUAGUUAGCUAAUUCUCGCAGCUCCUAAGGGAACCAAGAUCAUUAUAAUUAGUUAAGAAUAUUAUUUGUGUUUGCUAAUUAAAUGGCGUAUAUCAUCAUGAUAAUAAAAUUAAGGGUUCCAUUACUUUAAUACGAUAAGAAACAAGUUAAAAGACAAGUAAAACACAUAUUUUAUGCACUUAUUAUCUUGCUACGAGGAAUUUUAAAUUGAAUAAAUAAAUAUCUGCAAAAUAUGAUUCAACUCAUUAACAUUAAUUUAAUUUUGCCGCCACUGUCACUAAAUCUAACAUCAAGCCCUCACCCAUUGCCAUAGCAUGCAAAAUCAGUGGCUAAAAAUUGAUUAUGAAUUUUUUUUUAAAAAAAACAUUUUCAAAAUCCGAAAACCUACGACCUAAUGACUACGGAGAUGAAGAAUAAUAGAAUAGUUGAAUGCAUAUGAUGCAAAAAAUACUUACGGUAGACAUACUUUUUUUUUUUCCUCCAACCAACCACCAUAAAUAUACUUUUUUCGAGCAAAAUUUAGCCAUGGAAAAAUUAUUAAUGCAUAUUAGAAAUAAUAUAGACACACAACUAAUGAAUAAUUUUUAUGAUCACUUGAGCCAUUAAAAGUACUAUUUUCAAUUGGCUUUAGCGAUAGCUUUUGUAAUAGCAAUUUCAAUUAAAUAUGUUGAAAAUACAUUAAUUGUGAGGGGUAAAAACUGCCCAAAAAAAAAAAACCUAAGUUGUAGUUGGAACAUAUAUUAUUCUAAUUGAUUUUGUAAUCGAAAAUACUACAUAUUAGUCGAAAUAAGUAAUAUUUGUAAUUGAAUUGUUCUGUUAUAAAUAAUGCAUUCAUAGUCAGAAAAGUAUUAUUUUUGAUGAUUUAUCUUUGUUGGAAAUUCUCUGCUUUUAAUGGGAUAAAUAAUUGAAAAUAAUCUACGCGGUUGCAAUUUAUUUUAUUAAUUUCCACUGGCAAUUGGAACAACAAUUAUUUCAACUGUCUAAUACAAUUUUUAAGAACAUAUGAUUGUUGAAAAUAGAUUUAGGUAGUUUUUUUUUAUAAAGAUUUAGGUAGUUAUUAUAAAAUGAAUGAGUUUUCCUAAACAAUUCAAUCGAAAUUGUCACCAUUCAUAUUGUCCAAAAACAUUUCAUAAUAAAAAAUAAAUCAUUAUUAUAUUAUUUCAAAUGAGAUAAAUAAUAUAAAUAUCAAGCAUCAUCAAAGCCAUCUGAAUUAGCAUCACUAUCGUCUUUUAAAUCACCGUAACAUCAUCAUGUAAAUUAUCAUCAUCCUAUGAAUUAGCGCCACCAUUGUCAUCUGAAUCAAUACCACCACAUCAUUAGAAUUUCCACCACCGCUACUUUCAGAAUUUGCACUACCAUCGGCAUUUGCAUUCAAUUUUUCAAUUGGAUUCUAUAAAGAAAAAUUAAAUGAUCGAGUAUUUAAAAUAAUUAAUUGACAACGAAUUAUAUAAAUUAAAAAAAUUGAGAUUGAAAAGAACAUUAUAUUAUUGAAGAAUGAAGAUGAAGCCACAAUAGGUUGAGAAUGAGAUUUUUUUGCUUCCAAAACUUCCACUUUUUUCUCUACAAUAGUCAGUUGCUCUUGCGCCACUUGCAAAGUACUCAACAAAAACUCCUCAUGUUAUAUACAUUUCUUUUUGUUGCAAGGUCAGCUUGAAGUGGAUCCAUAUACAUCCUUCAUUUUGAGGCCUCUAAGAGUGUGACCAUGCUUAACACCUCUUGUGGCAUCAAGAUAUAUAUCUCGUUGUUUUCUUAAUGGAUCUUCGUCAAAUGACUCAUGUAAUUCAUUCCUCUUUGAUAUCAUAUGUGCCUCUAUCAAAAUAUGAACAUAAUAAUUAAAUAACAUAUCCAAUAAUGAUAAUAAUACACACUUUUGAAAUUAAAAAAAAAAUUAACAUAUGCAGUUCCUUAGCUUAUCAAUAGGCCAAGUUCCAUCCUUUCGCACAUGGAACAUCUCAGAAAAUCUACUGGACUAGGAUUAUUCCCAUUUUGCUCAGCAUAUCAACAUAAUAACAACAAUAAUAAUAACAAUAAUGUUACAUAAUUAAAUAAUUUCUAUAAUAAAAUUGAAAUAUUAAGAAUCAAAAUAAAUUUUUUAUAGUAGCAAAGUAAAUCAUUAAAAAAAAAUUCUAUGAAAAAAUACAAAUAUAAUAAAAUUUAUGACAAAUAUGAUCAUUUAAUAGCUCCUUUUUCUUCUUCAACAUUUUAACUUAUCCAGUUGUAAGCACUACUUCAGAUGAUUUGUUACAAAUGGAUGCACUUAUUCUACUCGAUUUCUACAUAAAAAGAAAAAAAAUAAUUCAUUACAUCCAAUAUAGUAAACCAAAAUUAUUUAACUAAGUUGAAAUUAAAAUUAUUGCAUAAGAUUUAAAUAAACUCAAUCAUUACAUUCACAUGCGCUAAAUAUAACCUACUCAACAUGGUCAGAUUAAUUUCAAGCUUAGCAUGUAGAUUCAUAUAUAACAUAACUAUGAAUGAAAAAAACACUUCUUUAUGAUCAAAUUAUUAAAUUUACCAUAUAUCAAUAGAGAAUCAAUGGGAAAGAUAAGCACUUAAAUUUUAUUAGCAAAAGUUAACCAACAGAAAAUGAAUUAUUUUCAGAUUCUAAUAAUCAAUAUAAAAGAUUUCCAAAUAAAAAAGAAAUAACAGAUCAAUACAACUGCUAAAUAUAAAAAUGCCUAAAUAGAACUAGAAUUUUUUUUUUUUUGAGUCAUUAAGCAUCAAAAUGAAAAAGAUUAAACAAAGACAAAAUAGUCCAAUGAUUAGUCACUGUAAAAACAAAUGGGUCAAGUUUGAAUGAUAUCCUUUUCAACCUUACGGCCAGACUGUAAAAAUUCACCCAGCCCCCUAUACUCUAUGUUAUUUAUAAUUUAUUUGUAAGUAUUAUAAAACUUUCUGAAUUUUAAAAUUUCGUUUGGUUUCUCACACUCAAUUUUAUUUUAUUGAAACCCUAGAGUACGAAUUCGCCCCCUAUAAUUUUAAAUUUCCAAAAUAACCUCCAUUUAAUUAAAAACAUAAUUAUUAUCAAAUGAAUUAUAAUUAUAACUAUUAUUCUAUUAUAAUCAUAAAUAUAAUUAUAUUUUUUAAAUAUAUUAUUAUUGUUAUUAUUAAUAACAAGAAUAAAAAGUAUUAUAAUUAAUUAAUCUAUUAACAAUAAUUAAUAAUAAUGUUUUGUUAAAUUGUUAAUAAUAAUAAUAAUUAACGAGAAUUAUUAUUAAUAAUUAAAUUUUUGAAUAAUAAUAACAAUAACAAUAAUUAAAAUAUAAAAUAAUUAUUAUGAUAAAAAUUAAUGAAUGAUUUUAUAGCAAUUGAUUAUAAUUUAACUCAUUCUGAUUUUGAUUCUAAGAUAAAGUAAACACAUAAAUAGUAAUAAAGCUCAUUUUAAUUACAAUUCCUGCAGUUCAAGCAAAUAAAUUAUUCAAUUAGACCACUCUAUAUUAUGUACAAUUUAUUCAUAAGUAUUAUGAAUUUUAUAGUGCAUUCACUAAACAAUAACCAAAUUUAGGUGGAAACAUAAUGAAUUACAAUCAAAAUGAGGAAUUAGAAUCAUAAUAAUAUUUUUAUUUGAACUGUAGAAAUCGUAAUUAGAAUGAGCCAUAUUACCAUUUAUCUGUUUAUUUUGUCUUAAAAUCAAAAUUAGAAUGAGUUAAAUUGUAACAUUGCUAUAAAAUCAUUUAUUAAUUUUUAUCAUAAUUAUUAUUUUAUAUUUUAAUUAUUGUUAUUGUUAUUAUUAUUCAAAAAUUAAUUAUUAUUAAUAAUAAGUAUCGUUAAUUAUUAUUAUUAAUUUAAUGAAAAAAUUAUUAUUAAUUAUUGUUAAUAGAUUAAUUAAUUAUAAUACUUUUUAUUCUUGUUAUUAAUAAUAACAAUAAUAAUCUAUUUAAAAAAUAUAAUUAUAUUUAUGAUUAUAAUAAAAUAAUAGUUAUUAAUUAAAUAGAGGUUAUUUUAGAAAUUUAAAAUUAUAGGGGGUGAAUUCAUACUCUAGGGUUUUAAUAAAAUAAAAUUGAGUGUAAUAGGUUAAACGAAAUUUUAUAAUUCAGAAAUUUUUAUAAUACUUAUAAAUAAAUUAUAAAUAAUAUGGAGUAUAGGGGGCUAAACGAAGUUUUACAAGCUGGCAGUAAGUUACAAUAAAUGUAACUUAGGCGGACCCUUAGCAAUCAUUAAUAUAUAAAACCUGCCAUUUCUCACUCAACCACUUUUCCACCAUUUGAUGCCAUACAGAUUUCUGAAGAUUUGUUGGGCGAUUAGAAUAAUGCUUCCUAUCUGUCUUAUAUAUUUUGAGGACUUCAUCUCUAAUACUCUUCAUAUAUAUCAUCUUUAAAUCUUUAUUUAACUUGAGAAGAAAAUGCAGCGUUCAACUCCUCUUUAAGACCAUCAAAUGUGAACUUAUUUUUAAAUCAGUUAAACAAGCGGUCUAGUUCUAUUUAUGGGUACUCAAAAAAUGUAAUCUAAGGUCCAUUAAUUUAUAGAUUAAAGAGAUCACCUACUGUACGUAUAGCAUAAGGAGUAAUAAGCCUAAAAUAACAAUUUGAAAAUUGAACAUAAUUAAGAGAGUGAUUUGAUUACAUACAUGUGAUGAAAUACAAAAAGAGAUGAUUUUACUAUUAAUUUAUAUAAUUAAUCAACUUGCAGCAUUGUGAAUUUCUUAUUUUAUGUAAAUAAAAUAUUUUGUAAACUUCAACAGGCCUACCUUCCCCAAUUUUACAUUUGCCUUUCCCGUUUUCCUGUUUUUUGGAGGCAGUAAUACCUUGACCUAUAAAUCAACAUGCAUAUAUAAUGAAGAAUUGGUAGUUUGAAAUUAAUAAAUAGUAAAUUCAAUUAGCUAAAAAAUUACCAUUUGUGCUUGCACGUUCAUCUGUGGGAACAUCUUGCAAUUGUAAAGUAUUCUGACAUCGUUGAGCUGAAUUAUUUCGGUUUUUAGAUGAACAAGAAUGAGUAGUGGGUUUCUUGUCAUGGCUGUGAGUAGAAAAGUAUAAAACAACAUUAGCUUUAGUUAAUAGGUUAUACUUAUAAAAAAAAAAAAGGUAAUAAAAAAAACAAAUGGUAAAUUUAACUAGAAUAAAAAAAUCGUUAUAAAAUAGAAACUAAAUUAAUUUCUCUGUUUGAAUUAUGGUCUUUAAAACAUAUCUCGUCAGCUGCUGGUACUCGACGCCACAAGAUGAUUUACUGACUAAUAUUAUGUUGUCAUAUCAUCCGUCAAUGCUAUAUUAUCUUAGUCAAUGUCACAUCAUCAUUCAAAGUCACAUCAACAUUUUUUCAAUCUCAUAAGAUACUGCCACGUUAGUCGAUCAGUGCCACGUCAGUCGAUCAGUGCCACGUCAGUCGAUCAGUGCUACGUCAUCUAGUCAAUGCCACGAUAUCUGGAUCCCACCAAAAUUCUAAAAUUAUAAUUUUUUCUUUUGUGUUCUUCCUGAGUUUUUUAGCUAUUUUGAGCUAAAAAAUAAUAUCCAUUUUAUUAUCCAACAUCUCAUUAAUGGUGAAAUAACCAAAAUACCCUUAAAAUACAUAAAAUACUUAAAUUAUAACAAAACACACACAAUCAAAGUUUAAAAGACUUAAAUACAUAAAAAUAAAAAUGUUAGUGAAGCUUGGAGACGAUUUGAUCCUUUAUAAAUAUGAAUUUUCCAACACUCAACAAUAAUUCAUCAAUCACAGCAUGAUAUGAUACACCAACCUCAAUUCGGUUAUAGAAAGUGGAGAUUUGACAAGUUCUAUUAAAGAUUUGACGAGUUUUAUUUUUUCUUGCCAUCUCUAUUAAAAUAAAAUAAAAACAAAAUAUAAAGCAUAAAUAAAAUCAGAAUAUAAUGGAACAAAUUUUCAACAUUAUUACAUAAAUCAUGUGACAAAUAAAGUUUAAUUAUAUAAUUUUACCUUGUGAAAUAGAAAGUUGACCAACUGAUUUUUCCUUUAGAGUUUUUUAUAAAUACUUUUGUUUUUCUUAAAUGUAAUAUGUAUACAAAAUAAAACAUUGAAAUUAAAAAUAUACUAAAAACUGAAUUUCAUUAAUUAAAGGCUUGAACACCACAACCUUCAUCAACAUACCUUUCAACUGCUGCUUAUAUGGAUGAUCAGACCCUUCUCUCAUCUUCGGUACUCUUCGUAUUUGAUCACCACUUGAUGGUCUACAAGUCUUUUUUGAAUCCAUUGAUGCAUAAACCUGAUCUUUGUUUUUCUUAGCCAUGAUUGUUCAAUCAAAAUAUAUAAUUAAUUAAUAACAUGUUAGUACAUAAGAAAACCCAACAAUAGCAAUAUAAUUUACGAACACGAUUUGAAGUAAUUUACAUGAAUCAAUUUUGAAUAAGGCAACAACCUAAAAAGGAAAAAAAAAACCACAAAUAAUAACAUGACUGAACUAACACUGAAAGCAAUAAUAUAACCAUAUGGAAUUGUUUUUAUGAAUUCAAAACAUGUUAAAUCUAGUUUUUUAACACUUAUGUCCUCAAAAGUGUUAUAUAUAUCUGGAAGUUUAAAUAGGUAUAUAUUUAUGAUGUUAUCUAGUAUAAUACUAUUUAUAUGUUAUAAAAAUAUAUAAGGUAAUCAUUUAAUAUAUAAUUUGUGGAAAAUAAUUUUGAUAACAUUAUUUUUUUAUUUUUAUCUGAUAAUAAAAGAAUAUGCCUAAAUUCAAAUUGAAUUUGUAUGUUUGGUACUUUAUACUAAGUAAAAAUUGAGAUCAAGAGAAAUUCUAAUACGACAUCUAACUUACAAUAUUAUAGUUAAUUAAAAAAAAUCUUUUUGAUUAGAGAAAAAAUAAAGGAUUAUUAGAUUUUACAUAAUAUGUAUGAAAUAAAUAUGUUUAAAUGACGAUGUUUGUAAAAAAAUUAAUUUUUCAUUCAAACAUUUUAUCAUUUAAAUAAACGUUAAAAAAUUUUAAUUUUUUCAUUUAGAUGAAAAUAUCUUACAAUAAGAAUUCAGAUGCAAAAACAAACAAGGCAAAAUUUAAAAGUAUCUUAAAUUAAGGUAUAUUAAAACUUCAGACAUAAAAACAAAUAAGUGCGUAAUUUAGAUUUUGUUAUGUUUAUAAAAAAAAUUUUCUUUUUCUAUUUGCAUUUUAUUAUUUUACAUGUUCACGCUCUUCAAUAUAAUUUAAGGCCUCAAGCAAAAUUUCAAAAUUAGGCUUUUUUUUAAUUUAAAUUAAGAUAUUGAUGAUAAACGUUUUAUUUUAGAUUAAUUCCUUUUAGAUAGAAAAUCAUUAAUAAAUUUGGUACAUCAAUUCGUGUGCCAAAAUUUUUUGAAGUGUAUAUAUAUAAAUGUUCCAAUUUACUUUAGAAUCAUGGAUUUUACUAAAAUCUAGAAAAGUUAUUAAACAAUGUGGUUUAAUAAUGUAAUGAUUGUAGUUUAAUAUAUUUCUCGGACUUUAAUAAAUUCAAGAUCCUAAACAAUAUAUAUAUAUCUCUCUCUAUAUAUAUAUAUAUAUAUAUUGUAACAUAUGUGAAUUUAAAAUAAAAUGAGGCGGUUAAGGAUUUUGGCGGUUAAGGAUUUUAUUAGUAAAAGCAAAAGAAUAAGCUGGAAACAGAGGAAACAUAUGCACGUGUAACAGAGAGUGAGAGACAGGUUGCCAAACCGACCCAACUAUAGACCCGAAAACCCGACCCAAAACCCGUGACCUUGACCCGGCCAUAUCUCCCAUUUCCAGCAACCGUUUCGGCCGAGCUUGGUACCAAUCUGAAGCUUAGAAGCCGACCGUCGUUUCCCUGCCAUCCUCGUCGCCGAAAACCAACCGGAACACCGGCGAUCGAAGCUUAAAACCCGCGACUGUUUCACUUUACUCCACCGGGAUUUUCGCCGGUUUUGGGUGACACCACCGGUUGGCUUUUGUUCCUCAUGACUCCCUCUUCCAUUUCCGACCAUCCAUAGGCACCGAGAGUCACUGUUUUGCCGCUGGUCGAUUGUUGGAAUUCACGACUGCCGAGCUAGAUUCCGGCGUCGUUACCGCGCGUUGGAGCUCACCGCCGGUACCAUUGAACUCCGCGUGAUUGGAACUUUUAGAUUUGAGCUUUCUGGUCAGUGUUGACCAAAUUCCGGUGAAGGUUGACCGGCAAGGGCAUUUUGGUAAUUUCACACUAUGAGGGCAAUUUUGUAAUUUCUGAGCCUGUGGAUAUUUUAGUAAUUCCUAGAAUUAAGGAUUGGGUGUAAUUACGAUUCCGAGGGUAAUUCGGUGAUUUACGAUUUCAGAGUAUGUUAAUGAUUUACGGACUCAAGGGCAUUUUAAUAAUUUUAUGGAUACGGGAGUUGUCAAUUAUGGAUAGAUGUUCAUUUCGAGUUUAUUGCAUAAAUUUAGUCGUAAUUCCGAUUUACAAAAAAUAAUUAUGUCGUUUCCUUGAUUUAGGAGAAUCCGCGAGCGAGAACCGGUCUGCGGACGUGGACGAUAACCGACCGUGAACAUCGUCACUGUGAGUGGAAUAUACAAAACAUAUUUUCAUAGUUAAUUGUGAUAGUAAAGCAUGUUUGCAAAAUAAGUAUUUUAAAUGUUCGGAUUUAAUGAUUUCUCGAAAUGGAGUUUAUUCACGCAUUAGUAUUUUAUUCAAAUGUUUGGUUAAUGAUUUUGUGUAUCGACUUUGAAUAAGCAUGAUAGUAUUUUCAAGAUAAGAAAAGUGGAUUCAAAUGUGGUAUGAUUUAAAAUAUAGGUAUGUGAAUAUGAGUAUAGUGAUUGUUUUUGAAAUCAUUAGAUAGUACCCAUCCCUCCAGAUACAGUGAUACAGAUGAGAUGAUAUGAGAGGCCUUUGGGGCCCGUCUGAACACACAUAGAGGCUUUGGGCUGUGUGUUUGGGCGUUUUUGCCUUUUGGGGGCAUAUGCAUGCGAUAUGAUGAUUACAAAUAUACUGAUAUGAGAUACAGACAGAUAUUGAGCUACAGAUGAUACAGAUGAGAUACAGGCCUUUGGGGCCCGUCUGAGUACACACAGAGGCUUUGGGCCGUGUGCUUGGGCGUUUUGUCCUUUGGGGACUAGAUUAUACAUGCACAAAUAUGAUGAGAUAUGAGAUGGUAUUUCACUGUCUAUCCGUGUAGCUCCGGGGCGUGGCGGUACCCAGAUAGUACGUCAUUGCCUGUCCGUUGAGGUCCGGAUACGACGAGAUUAUUUCUCUGGGUACUUGUUUGGUGAUGAUUUUCAAAUUUGUGUAUUCUAUAUGAUAUUGUGAUAUGAUUUGUAUGAUUAGUAAUCUGGUUUAAAGUUAAAUGAUUUAUUACUAGUUUCUCACUUAUGAUUUAAUGAAAUCGUGUUUGGAAAUGAUAUAAUUAUUUCUUUUAAAGUAAGAAUUAAUUUUCAAAACUACUAUCCACUCACUGAUCUCACUGAGUUUUAAACUCAUCCCGUUUUUAUUAUAUUUUCCCCCCUCACCAGGAGGUUGCAGGUACACCAGACCGACCCAGCGACUGUAAAUAUAUUUUGAGUCUUGACCACAUGAUGGUGUUAAAAGAUAUAGAUGUUUUUGUUAGGACAUCUUGGUCAUCUUGUUCUUUUGGGAUUGUAUACUUUUUUUAUAUUAUUCUUUUGGGAUUAAGAAUAAAUUGAGAUAUUAAUAUUAGUUAAAUAUUAUCUUUUGAGAUUCUGGAGAUAUAAAACUCAGCAUUUUGGUUGAGGAUGUUGAGCACUGGAGUUUGUUGUAUAUUGAAUUGUAUUGGGAGUGUUAUAUUUAUAUUUGUAGAUUGGAAGUGUUAUAUAUAUAAAGGAGACUCUGCCGAAUUUUUGGCAGAAUCUUUACAAAUAGAAUUAUUACCAAGUCCAUUUUGAUGAAAAUAGAUAGACUCGCCUGGGGAUUCGGGGCGGGUCGUUUCAUAUAUAUAUAUAUAUAGAUAACGUUGAACAUGAAUUUCAUUUGGUGGGAAAGAAUAAGAAAUUAUGUUAAACAACUUUAGUGAAAAAUAGAAGCCAUUACCGAAAUGAAUAUAGAAAUUCAAAAUUUAAAUAUAGAGAGAUUAAUAUUAAUUAAUUUGCUACUAACAUUUUCCAUGUCGUCCUAUAUUAAUUUUUAAAUUAAUACAAUUGAAAAGGAUAGUAAAGCAAAGAAUAUAUUAGAUGAAAUAGGUUAAUUGUAAUCUCUAUAACCAAAUUAUGUAGUUCAGACUUCAGAAUUAUCACACAAACCCUAUUAUGUUCAUAGUAGAAAGAAAAGUAGGACUAGUAGCAUCCCUCUAAUUUCCUUUUAGCACCGCCAUUUAACGUCAAGUCUGAAUUUAAUUCCAAAAUCAUUCUUUUCCUCAAUAAACAUUUAAAUUCAAAAUUUUCACUUUCUUCCUCGUUUUGUACUCGUCUACUAGGCCCAGUAGCCUUGCUGCCCGUCAUCAACAUGGACAAAAAUUUUCAUGAUAAAUUUCUGGAAUAUCAGUCAUUUACUCAUUUACUAAACCACAUAUACUUGAAAUAACUAUAGUUAAAAUAGGACACAUCAAGCUUAAUUUCAGGAAAAUGGUAAGAAAAUUUUAAAUAUAGUUCAGACCUGACACCCUUAACCAGAACAUUUGAUUAAUUCCUAAACGAGUCUAAUUCUACUCAGAUAGCGAAGAGAAGUAGGCCAAAAUGAUUACAACUGCUGUUAUCUAGAGACUUUGGCCACCAAGCUUCGGUUUAAUUAGUCUCUAUAUUUUGGGUUCAAGUAUCUGUUUAAUCAAUCCAUAAAUUUUGAAAAAAAGAUAAGACUAUUUGAAUCUACUAAUUUCCUCUCUAUACCUUCUUUUUAGUUAAGAAUUUUAUUAUUUAAAUUUUUUUAAAAGAUUACUUAAUUAACAGAUUCUCUCUCGCUUCUCAAUUUCAGAUAUUCUUAUAAGUUUAUUCAACUAUAUUAUUUUAGCUGCAAAUAACUAGUAUUACUAACUAAGAGGAACGAAAUCCACUAUUGAAAGAUAGACAUCAAUAAGUUCUUAUCUGACAUUAAAUUAAGUUAAUGAAUAUCAAGAAAUAAAUUUUUACCAAAUACAAAAGUUAAAAAAAAAUUAAAAAAAAAAUCUCCUAUAUAAAAAGCAUGAAAUAGGAAUCAUGAUAUAAUAAGAAAAGGCCAAAAAAUGAAUUCAAAUUAGAGUGAAAUUGAGUGCUUAAUUUGCAAAAUGUGAGAUUUUUAAAUUUUUAAUUGCUUAAUAAUGAUUUUUUAAAAACAAAUAGGUAUAGAGAGAAAUUUGAUGGGUCCAAAUAGUCCCACGAGAAAUGCUUUAAAAUACUUAUGCUGUUAAUUAUGUACACAACUAUUAUUAAUUUUUUCUUUACUUUUACAAUAAUAAUAUCCUGACGAUGAUUGGGAAAAGUAAAAAAAAAAGAAGUUAAUUUACUAUAUUCUAAGAUAAUCUUUAUUCUUAUCUUAUCUUAUCAUUUCUUUUCGUUUUUCUUCUUUUAAAAGUAAAUUCCUUCAGAUUAAACCAAGUUAAAAAAAUAUUUUAGCUAAAAGAUACAUAUGCUCAUUCCAAACUUUUAAACGCACGAUAAAAAUUGAUAAGCAAGACUGCGAGAGUCCAAUCCAAGUGUCCAAUCACGUCUUUGAUGGAUAAAUUCUACUUGAUUUAGUCCUUAAUAGUGUGGGACAUGCCAAAUUUUAAACUUCAGCCGUAGAUUUGUUAUCUUUACCUAGCAUUAAUAUUGGCUGCCUCACAUCCAUGCACCCACUGGAUCUAUAUAUAUCACAUGAAACCAGAAAUAAGGACUCACUCAGGCUCACCUACUCACUUUUGAUUGCGGUUCUCCAGAAGCUAACAGAGAUCGUUUCUGCUUUGAAGAAAAUGGAAACUCCUUACACAGGUUAAUUUUUAGGCCAUGUUCAAUUGAAUGUAAUUUAUAAUUCUAAUUUUAAUAUAUGUGUUUGUGAAUAAGUUUUUUAUCAUCAAUUUUUCAGGUAAGAAAGAAUGGUCAGAGGGUGCAUUGAUUAUUCUAAUAGUUAGUAUGUUUGAUGAUGAGAAAAUAAAUGACAAUGAUCUUGAUCUUCUUGCCGUCCCUCAAUACGGGAGGUACCCUGAUUACACUGGUUAAUUAGGUGUUACAGUAUUAUACUUUUAUAUUAUGUUUAAUUAAAUAAAAUGAUGGAUAAUAUUAUUAUCCAUCAAUGAUGUGAAUACAAGUUUGGUUUAGUCAACUACUAAGAUCUUGUGGGAUAUACAAAAAACUUCUUUCUUUAGCGCAUGUAUUUUGUCGUCCUUAAUUAAUAAAUAAAAUUAUUGUGUUUAUAUGAGUUGACUGAAUUAUUUUGGCAAU